GAAAAGGGCAGCGGGAAGCCGUCCUGACGCCCCUCACCUCCUCCCGUCCUCCGCGCCGCUCCGCUCACCCAAACUUCCGCCCUCACGCCCUAAAACGCGGCGUUUCCACGCAGAUUACGCGCCGCUGGUUCGCGGGAGGCAGCGGAGGAGCCGGGGGAGCUAUGCCGGCGGGAGGGCACGCAGCGGUGUGCGUGGCAGCCUGACUGGGGAGAGACGCUCUCUCUCUCUCUCUCUCUUUUCUUUUUUUUCCCCCUUCUUUUUUCUCUUUAAACAUUAUGAUUUUUUUAUUAUAAUUAUUUUAAUUUUAUUUAUUUGUUUGUUUAUUUUGCAAUUGUCGACCAGUUGUUUGGUUCAGAGGAAAGUUACCCAGAAGGGGAAUGCCACCCAAGGACAGCACUCGGCAGGAGCCGCUCUUCAGAUCACGGCUGGAGAAAGACACCUACAAAAAACUCCACCGCUCGCUGCGUUUGUAAGUUUCCAAAGAAAUGAGAGCCUCUUUUCCUUUUCUCCUGGAAGACGCAAGCCACGGCUCUUCUUUAGACUUUUCUAAUUUGUUCCGUCCGUCAGAGCGGCACUAAGAGAGGUUUGGUGCAAAUUCAUUAUCUCUGGCAACGCGCAGCGCGGAGCAGGAACUGAAAAAGACCGUGGCAAUGCGUGAACAAUGGGGCUUCAGUUCGUCGGCAACAAAAGCAGUGGGGAAAUCGGUUGGAUUUCAGAGCACGUCCUCCUCGGCAGAGAGGGCUGGACUAGACCUUGGCCAACCCCCCAAAAAACUUGCGGAGCGUCUCAUGCAGGACUCCACUUUCUACUCCGGGGCUUAAGAGGCAAUAUGGAAAAAAAAAAGGGGGGGGGGGGAGGGUGGGGGUGGGGGGAGGAAAGGGGGAACAGAAAACUUUCUGCGAUCGUCUUCCGUUUUUCUGGAUAGAGGAUGCCGAGCUACUUUAAAGCCAUUUGGCGCAAGAACUGCACCAUGGAGCUACACGGAACUUUUAAAGCAGGAUGAGGAUGGAGGAACGACGUGAAUUCGUGGAGAUUUGCCCGUGGGGAUCUUUGUGCUUGCCUUACCGCCGGGACCGGGGGGGGAGAACCUCCCCCACCCUCGGAGCCGCAGCGAUAUUUAAACAACGCAGACAGAGCACAGGGAAUGACAUCCAAGGCACGACACGUGCGUGGAUAGUGACUUACGUUCCUGAAGAGAAUGAACGAGAUAUCAGUUUGGAAUUAUUCCUGGAAUUAGAACAGCAUGAGGUCUCCUCUAGCAAUCUAAGGUAAUACCACUGAAAUGCAAGAAAUCCGAAGUGAUGUAUGUACAGCUGACCAUGUACUGACAGUGUCAAGCCCAGCAAAUGUUCUGUACGCCUGCAGCCAAAAGAAGAAGGAGAAUGGGUAACCCCUGGGACAUUGCUCCACAAGGCAUGGCAAGCACACAUUUCUCUCCAAGGAGUAUUUAUUCAGCAGAACAAAAGCUUCUCUAGGAGGUGGACAGGUUUACUAAUAGUGGUAGCCCAGAAUUCUGCUACCGUGAAGCACCUUCUUGAAGUCAUUGCGAAGGAUAGGUAGUUGUUUACCCACCAACACGGCAUAACGUCAAAUACAGCAGCACUGAAAUCCCAUUUUCCUUUAACCUGGAGUGCACGAGAGGAGGUUUCAGUUGCAAUCAUUUUGCAUCAGAAUGAGCCUGAUCUAAAACGAGGGCAGAAGCAGCCCUACUGGGACUUGUACACAUAAGUAAGUCAAGUACGAUUUGCCAAGCGAUAUGCAUGAAAACUAAUUUUUUUUUUUUGCUGGAGAAUGUUCUUUUGAAAUGUUUUCUUUAAAUGACUACAGCUCAAAAGCAGCAGAAAAUGUACUCAGGUCUGAGAAAUAUCUGCCUCAUUCUGCUUCCUUAAGGUUGCAUUAGUUAUGUAUGCCCUUGUCACUUUGGGUAACAGCCUGACUAGGUAUUAAUUGAAGAUAUUAAUUAUUAUGUAAUGACUUUCACUAAUUGUUUCUCCCUUUAGAGUAUUUAAAAAAAAAAAAUUGACUGUGUUGACAAUAGUAUAGUAUGAUGAAUGGUUGUUAAGAUGUCUCUAGUGUAAAAUGAAAUACCAUUUCUGCAAUUAUUUUAGCAAUACCAAGUCAGCAUGAUUUUAAUAAUACUAUGAGUAGAUUACAUUCUUUUUUUUUUUGCCUUUUUUGGGUGUGGGAAUAUCCUUCAUAUUUUCAAUUACUCAUUAAAAACCUCCAUAAAGGCACUCAAAUUAUUGUCAAAAACACAUUUAAAAAUCCUGAAACAUAUUGCAAAUGACACAAAUCCUUCAUGUUCAGCAACUUCAGAAGUUUGUCUUGAUUUCAGUGGGAGCUCUGUAAAUCAUGUGCUGAAAAUCCGGGUUCCUAACAGCAAAAAAAUCCUGACUUCAGAAAUAUAGAUGGAAAAAGAAAUAUAUAUAUAUAUAUAUCUUUUUUAAAGAAAAAAGCUUGAACAAAGAUUUUUUUGCAACUUUAUCACAUAUUUGAUCUAGCUAUCAAAAACUCAUUAACAAACUCAGUGAAAGUCUUAUAUGCUAGUACUCACUUGUGAGAAUCAAGGUUUUUUCACAUCUUUUACAGAAAAAUGCUGCUGCAUUUUCUAACAGCUGUCUAGAUUUCAUUCUUGUUGCCAAGCUGAAGUGCAUCAGAGUGCGUAUAUAUACAGUUUCCAUUAUUUAAGAGGAAUUACACAUAUAAAUUAAAAAUAUAUGUAUAUACAUAUAAGCACAUCCCUCUCUAAUUUCUGGUGGCCUCUUCUAGAAGUAAAUUAAUGACUUACACUGUUCUGAUGUGUGUGCUUAAAGAGAACAAUAUUCUGUAACACAAAUGCCUUGACAAUUUCAUACUUCAUUUAAGCAGCAUCUCACCUAUUUAAAUUCAGUGAAAUACUUAAUCUCCUCAGUAUUUUUAACUAUAGCCCUACUCUUACUCUGUGAAAGUGCUAAUGAGAUCUCAGACUGAUUUUGGUGAUCUCUUCUUAAGUAUGUGUAGCUCAGUGGUCUUCUACAGUACAAAUGUAAAUAAUGGAAACAGUAGCGUAACUAAAAUAAGUAAAAUAGUAAAGCAGUAAAAUAAAGUCUCCUGCAAAGAAAAAAACAUACAUUCUAGAAGAAAAGUGAGUACCUUCGUUUAACUACAGAGAACACAUAGGAAUGCAGAUUGCCUUGCUGUGCUGUAUGAGUGCUCCUCAGGAGCAGCUUUGCUGAAGUUUCAUGUAAAUGUCAUUGUGACCCUGUCUAAACUCAUGGGGAUACAGUGAAAAUCACCAUGUUAACCAGUAGCACUGUGUUUGUCUUAGUCUUCCAAAAUAGCUAGUGUCCAUUUGAGCUGACUUGGAUCAGUAAGAGGUCUGGAGUUGAUGUGGUAUUUUUUCAUUUUCCAAAGAAUGGAGAUUUUUUGAUAAAAGGCCAACAGAUAUUUUGAUGAAAUAGGUCCAGGACUAGCUGCUGUUACUUCCAGAUUUUUUUUUUCUGUGUGUCCUAAUGAAUCUUGAGCAUUUUUUUGCAAAGUUGUAUGUUUUGAGCAGGAGUGAGGCUGUUCCUCACCCAGGCACAGUCCAUUCCUGGUGGCUGGGGUCUUUCUCUGCAGCGAUAAGACAGAGGUAGCUCUUAAUAAGAACAGGCACAAGGAUCUAGGCAGAAUUUGGCUGACUGAGUUCAGGACAGUCAUCUAAUUCAUUAUUGCAGUGUAACUCAUUGGAUUUCACAUCAAGUUCUGUCAAGUAAAUCUGGUGGUGACUUAAUGAUAGAUAUGUGUAUAGAGAAUCAAGUAUAUCCCACAUAAGGAUAAUUUUUUUUAAAAGCAAGGUUGCUGAGCAAAGUUCUGUCCUUCCUAGUGGUGACAUAAGCAGCAUCUUCUGCUGGCAUGCUGCCACCACCACCACAACCUACCACACUCUGCUUGUAAGCUUCAGUAAUGAAAUUAAAUGAUCCCAUGACAAAAUGACCUCUCCUGUAUUUUGUAACAUAUUUUAGUAGCCACGAUGAAAGCAAAUGGUUCAACAUGUAUCAGAGGUAAUCCCAAAUGCCUUCUUCUUGUAUCUUUUCGUAUCAUAACCAAUUUUUAAUCUUAAUUUUCUGAUUAGUAAUACUCGGCACUAUCAGACAAACUCCUAUCAGUUUUGGAAGGUAUACAUGUUACGUGAACAAUUACUCCUUUUUGUCAUCAUUUUAUGGAAAAAGAGAUAGCAUGCAUGAAUAUAUGCGAUAAAGAUAAAAAGACAAGCCCUUUCCCUGCAUAAAGACCUUGGAAAGCUCUAAAUUUGGAAGUUCUUAGUAAGCCCAUAUAGCAAAAGUUUCAUUAGGACAGAAUUGUGCAGUCGAGCUUUUGAAGUGUAAGAAUUAAAGUAUCCUUUGAAACCCUUAUGAUGUUAUUACGUACAGUUCUCACUUAUUCAGUGAAUGGAGGUGGAAGGUAAGAUCUUCAAAGCUGUAAUGCAGGUGUCUUUAUAUAAACGGAGUCACCAAUAAUUGAAUUUGGGCACCUUCUGUACAUAGUGGACAGGGCAGUGAGAUCACCAGGCUCUAUUCCCGGUACUGUGGUGGGCUUGACACCACCCUUAAAAUGUGCUAUGAACCCACCUGGCUUCUUUCUGUAGAUGGACAGGAUUGGAGUUUUGCAACUUCAAGGGAAUUUCACUUGCAAAUUGGGCAUUUAUUUUCUACCUAUGACAGUAGUUGUAGGGGUUAAUAUAUAAGCAGUAAACUACAGGGGCUAUAAAAUAAGCAGAAGUCUUCUGUGUGUGUAGAAAAGAAGGGAAUAGACUUUUUUUUCCCCCUGAAUCACAGCCAAAUGUGCCUUCCUUUUGUAAACAUCUUUUGUAACAUCUUUGUUGGAAACAGGGAUGGUGGAUUGGGUACACCAUCAGCGAGACUGCUGAUGACACACAGCUGAAAGUUGUGAUUAAAAUGCAGGAGGGAAGAGAUACCAUUUAGAAACACCUGGACAGGCUUGAGAGGUGGGCCUUCAUGGAGUUCAGUAAGGCCAAGUGCAAGGUCCUGAAUCUGAAUUGGGGCAGUCUCAAGCACAGAUACAGCCUGGCUGGUGAGUGGCUUGAGAGCAGCCCUGAGAAGAAGGACUUAUGGAGUUCUGGUGGAUGUAAAGCUGGACAUAAUCUAUCAGUGUACAUUAGCAGCUUGGAAGGUCAACAGUAUCUUGAACUGCAUCAAAAGAGGGGGGUGGCCAGAGUGGCAGGGAGAUGACUGUCCUCUCUGCUCUGUACUUGUGAGGUCCAAUAUGCAGGACUGCAUCCAGGACUGGGGCUUCCAGCAUAAGAAAGACAUGGAGCUGUUGGAACAGGUCCACAGGGAGGGCCACUAAGAUGAUUAGAGGUCUGGACCACCUCUCCUGUGUAGACAGGCUGAAGGACCUUCGCUUGCUCAAUCUGGAGAGGGUUCUGGGGAGACUUUAUUACAGCCUUCUUGUACUUGAAGGGGGCCUACAAGAAAACUAGAGAGUGUAGUGGUAGGAAAAUAGGUAAUUGUUUUAAACUAGAGCUUUAGAUUAGACAUUUGGAAGAAACUCCUCACUUAGAGGGUGUUGAGACACUAAAAUGGAUUGCCCAGAGCAGUUAUGAGUGCCCCAUCCCUGUCCAUGGGAGAUGGACAUGAUAACCUUUAAGGUCCCUUCUAAUACAAACCAUUUCAUGAUUCUAUAAUUAUAUGAAAUCAACAUUCUAAAGUUUGUAUUGUGCUUCUUUUCCCCUUUAGAUGAUCUAUAUAAUUUCCUUCACUAUUCAGGGAAUGCUAUAAAUAUUAAUAUAUGUAUAGAAAUAAAUUGAGAAGACAGCAUCUAGUGCAUUUUUAAGCAAGGGGCAGCAAGAAUAGCAGAGAAUUCUGUCUGAAGGCUGCAGGAUCUGCUCUUAUUUUCAAGGGUGCUUUUUUCAGCAUUACUUCAUAAUCUGUACUGUAAUGCUGUGAUUAAAUAGCUAAAAGCUUUGUGUUGUUUAUGUGUCCAAUACAAGAAAGUAAAUCUAAUGCAACAGGGAAGUCAUUGACUAAUAUGCACUAAUUCCAUAUCAUUUAGCAUCCCAGCUGUCAUGACACCAUGGCUUUUGCUGGUAGCUCAGCCACCGUUAAUUACUUCUGGAAAAUGAGGAUGGAACUGUUAAAUGUACAGUUUCAGUCCAGACUAACAGUACGUUAGCAUUUAGUGAAUAAAAUUGCUUAGUUCUGUUUUCAGAAAAUGUCACCAUCUACUUAGAGGAAAACAGCGGCAUUUGCUUUUAUACAGUAUUUUCUCUAAUGCAUUAUAGAAUCAUAGAACCAUGGGAUACCUUGACCUGGAAGGGACUCUUAAGGAUCAUCUACUUUAACUCUUAGCAAAACUUGUCAUUCAUACUCAUAAAAACGAGUGUUCCAGCUAUAGCAUGAGUCCAGUUCGAAAUGGGAAGUAUGUUAUGCUACUUACAUAGCCAAAUAAACAAAUCUUUAUUACAGCUGUUUAUCAAGUACCUCUAAAUAACAGGCAUAUCAAAAAUAGUUAUUGUACAUAAUAUUUAAUAUUUUACAGAAUAUAAUUUUCAAGCAGAGAUAUGUGUUUAUGUUAUACUUAAAAAAGCUCUUAUAUUAUUGCUUUAUUUGUUGUUGAUACUUUGCUCUGCUUUGUAUCUUUCACUCUGGCCUUGUAACUGGUGCUAACUUCUCCAGCUAAUUGCCCUUCAAAUCACUGCAGCAGAAGAUAGUGUGGCCUUGUGCACAACACUUCCUCUACUAUUCCUUAAACUCCCUGUUCAUUUUCUAGUUGUGUCACUUGGUUUGUUAAAUGCUGUACACCUUUGUAUUACUUCCUAAUCAUGUGCAACCUGAGCAGAUGUUCUGCUACUGAUUAUACAUUCGCUUCUGUCCCUAUAUUCCCCAAAUUGACACUCUUCAUAAUCACUUACAUACUGCAAGAGGAGAUUGCUUUCCUAGUCUCAUAAGCUUGUGGUGGGAAUAGGUAUGGGAUGGUAUGGUGUGUGGAUGGGUUACUUUCAGGCUUGUUUUACUCAUCUCAGCUUUAUUUGCAGAAAUGCCAGCUUGGAAUCACAUGAUGACUCACAGACACAUUUCCUCUCUGAAAUUCUUCCUCAGCUGACUGAUUUCUGUCAGCUUCAUGGUAGUUUAAUGAGGGAAAGCACCCUGUCGGCAACCUUCCAGGAUCUUGGUCCUCCCAAAUUAGCAGAUGUACAAUCCCAGGGAGGGCAUCUGUGCAAUGCACAAUUGGACAAACAGCACUGCAAAAGGCCACAUAGAAGUUCAGCAUUUUGCUGUGGGUUGAGCUUUGAAGCUCUGCAGCAUGUCUCUUUCAGCAGCUGGGAGCAGGAUGUUCACUGGUGAAAGACUGGAGAGAUAGACUGAGAUCCUCAGCCCCCAAGGGCAGUGCCAAGGCACCCUUCCCACAACUGUCACUUGAGAGUACCUUUUGUGUAGGAAGGAUUUUCCAUAAUAAGUUGGAUGAGGAUAUGGUCUGUGCAUCUCUCAAUGAAGCAGAAAUAUCACAAUGUUUGAAUUAUGAUAGGCUGAGUUCUUUUCUUGGUUGUUUACAUAUUUACUCACAUGCUGACUUUAUUCUGACUGAAAACUGCUCCUGUAAACUCUGGUUCUAAUACUUGAGUUUGAUAUUAUUGCACCUUCAUAGGAAGAACUGCUAGGGUGAGAUCUGGAAGGGCUUCUUUGGUACCUCAGAUCAAAAGUUUGCAAAAAUAACCUUUUAUGGUAGGAUGAGAAACAUACUUUGACUUCCUAGGCGGACACCAGAGAAAGGAGGUCAUUCUGAGGGUCCCCUGUUAGUUCAUGGUGAGAGCUCAUCUGAGGCAGCCAACUGGAACUCCCAUCUUCUGAAGAGAACCUUCCAAUGGUAUUUCACAUGCACUGAUAACAAAGAAUGGCUGUUGGGAAUCCUGCAUGAUAGCAUGCAUAUUGAGACCAAAUCUCUAGGCUUGGCUUUUCUAUAUCAUUUACAGCUUCUGUGAAACACAGAGAGCACAGUUUAAUUUCUUGAGAGUCUGCAUGUGGAGAAUUCCUACAGGCAUGGGUCCAGAGCCUGUAGGCCAGAGUUCAGAUGUGAUGGCUUGCUUCCUGCUCUGAGGACUAUAAGCCCCCAGAUUCAUACUCCUGGGCUUCAUCUUCCAGUUUUGUAGACUAGGCCCCAUACAAAAAAAAUGUUAUGAGAACAGGAGUUAUGGCUAUAUCUCACAUAUACAACCAUAGAAUGGUUUGGGUUGGAAGGGACCUUUAAGAUCAUCUAGUUUCAACCCGCCUGACAUUGGCAGGAACACCUCCUACUAGACCGGGUUGCUCAAAGCCCCAUCCAGCCUGGCCUUGAAUGCUUCCAGAGAGGGGGCAUUCACAGCCUUGCUGGGUAACCUGUUUCAGUGUCUCACCACCCUCAAGAAGAAUUCCUUCCCAAUAUCUAGUCUAAAUCUCCCCUCUUCCAGUUGAAAUCCACUUUCCCCUCAUCCUGUCACUACACGCCCUAAUAAAAAGUCCCUCCCCAGCUUUCCUGUACACACCCUUUGGGUACUGGAAGGCCACUGUGAAGUCCCGCAAGAGCACUCUCUUCUCCAAAUUGAAGAGCUCCAGUUCUCCCAGACUGUCCUUAUAGAGGAGGUGUGUCAGCCCUCUGAUCAUCUUUGUGUCCCUCCUGUGGACCCACUUGAACAGUUCUAUGUCCUUCUUGUGUUGGGGGACCCAGAACUGGACGCAGCACUCCAGGUGGAGUCUCAUGAGAGCAGAGUAGAGGGGCAAAACCACCUCCCUCAACCUGCUGGUCAUGCUGCUCUUGAUGCAACCCAGGAUAUGGUUGGCCUUCUGGACUGCAAGUGCACGCUGUCAGCUCAUGUUGAGUCUUUCAUCAGCAGACUCCCCCAAAUCCUUCUCCUCAGGGCUGCUCUCAAGCCAUUCUCCACCCAUUCUGUAUUUGUGCUUGGGAUCGCCCUGAACCAGAUGGUGGGACCUUACACUUGGCCUUGCUGAACUUCAUGGGGUUGGCAUGGCCCACCUCUCAAGCUUGUCCAGGUCCUCUGGAUGGCAUCCCUUCCCUCUAGCAUGUGAAUUACACCGCUCAUCUUGGUGUCAUCAGAAAAUUUGCUGAGUGUGCGCUCAAUCCCACUGUCCAUAUCUUCUACAAAGAUGUUGAAUAGCAGUGGUCUUAGCACUGAUUCCUGAGGAAUGCCACUGUUCACUGCUCUCCACUUGGACAUAGAGCCAACUCUCUGAGGCCGACCAUCCAGCCAACUCCUUACCCAGUCUGUUCAUCAAAUCCAUUUUUUUCCAUUUUAGCAACUGGGAUGUCAUGCCAGACAGUGUCAAAUGCUUUGCACAAGUCCAGGUAGAUGAUGCCAGUUGCUAUUCCUUUAUGCACUGACACCGUAACUCCAUCAUGAAAGUCCACACCAAAUUUGAAAGAUAUGAAAUAUGAUCUGUGCGAUCAGGGCGAUAAAUAUUUGGAACAGAGUGAGAAUGGCAUAGCAAUUAAAAGUACCUCACAGUGCAUUAGUUUAUUUUAAAGUAUGUAUAGUAUAAGCCUUUGAGCCAGGUCAUGGUGGCAGCUCUGAGUCUCCCCACAGUUUCAUCUUCUCCAGACUAAACAGGACCUGUUCCCACAGCUGUUCCUCAUAUGUUGUUUUCUAGUCCCUUCUCCAUCUUCAUUGCUCAAGCAGCUCAAUAUCCUUCUUGUAGUGAGGGGCCACAAACUGAACAUGGUACUUGAGGUGUGGUCUCACCAGUACUGCGCUCAAGGAGACAAUUCCUUCUCUUGUCCUGUUGUUAGCCACACUCUUUCUGGCACAAGCCAGGAUGAACCUGCCUCAUGUUCAGCCUGCUGAUGUCUGGUACUUCCCAUCCUCCUUUGAGAAAGGAAACAACUUUUGUCUUCUAAGACGGAAGUGAGGUUGGUGGAACUGCAUUUUAAGACUACAGAAAUUAUUGUUAUUUAGAAAGAAGCUUAAAGAUUUGUAUUUGAUUAAUUUAAUGUUUCCACAGAAUAUUGGAAAUUAGACAAAUAAUUGACCUCAUAUUUCCCAGGAAUAUCCCAGAAGUGGAGGUACUUGGUAUCACACAAGAUGGAACUCAAAUAGCCAAAUUAUUCUUUCCUUUUACAUCCCAGAAGCCUAUAAAGAACAAAGAUGUCAUUAUUAUAUAUCAUCAUCAAAAUUAUCAUUAUUAUUUUGAUUAAACUGUACUUUCCUCAGUGUGGGCUCAGUUGUACCCCUUGUUGCAGCCAAUGGGAUUUGACCAUGCCCUUCUAUGGGGGUCACAUUAAGAACUACAGCAGCUGCUUCUGGACAGAAAUUAAGGAACUGACACUGAAACCUCCCCUCUGGUGGGCAGAUACACUGAAAUCAGUGAAUUAAACUGGAUGAAUCAGACUCGAAUUUCCAUCCAUCAAAAUAUAUUUGGUACAGUAUAAGAAAAAUCUGAAAUGAAUAUAACAUGCUUGUGGGAUACGAUCUUUUUGUUUUGAGAUACAAGGAAAGUGGGAACCUUUGGAAAGGAGGGUUUACUGCCCAUAUUGAGCCUUAACUUCCAAAUUCUGAAAUGUAUUUCAUAACACCUUAUUAUCAAAAUUAAUAUAGCUAUAUAUAUAGUAGAUAUCUCACUUGUCAGAAAUAAACGGUUACUUCUUAAUCGUUACAUGUCACUAGUCAGUUUAUUUAUCCUGUUAAAAAUUGAAAACCUGAAUGUAUCAUUAAAACCAAAGAUUUUGUGUGGCAGCUUAGACAUUGGCUUUUCAUUUUUUAAAAUAGUAAUAAGUUUGUUAUUAUUUUAUAAACAAGAACAUACAUCUGUUUUAAGACUGAAUUACGUUGGUAAAUGAAAUUUUCAUCUCUGGUGGUUGGAAAAAUUCUAAGGAAAAGAAAAAGGAAAGGUCUCUGUCUAUAGGUUUUGCUUCGUCACCCUUUUGUACUCCGCAUGAGAAGAACAAAGGCUAUAUGUAUAAUGAGGCCAUGCAAAUGAACUGAAAUCAGCAGAAGUAGAGUGGGGGAUGGGAAGAUGUAAAAUAUGGCUAUCAGUAUAAUGACCAAGGAGUAGAGAAUUUAAAUGUUUAAUGCUUACACAUUCGAGUUCAUUUUUCUGUCAUCUUUUUGAAAUGUAGACUGAGGCUUUUGAAAGACCACAAUGAAAAGAAUUCUGUUUUGGACCUAAAGGAUUAAUAACAUUACUUAGCAUACUGCCCAGAUAUACUGCCCCACCCUACAGCUUUUUACCUUUAUUUUUUAAAUAAUAGAAGCCUGGUAAUAAUUAGUAGGGGUAACAGAGGAGAGGUAGAAGCCCUGGUAUUUGUAUUUGCAAUGAGGGUUUUUAUCUUGCCCUGCUGCACUGUCUGGAUGCCAGCUCCCCAUCUCAGACAUGAUGGAAGCUCAGAGUACAAUAGAAGCAGAGCAACAAUAUGAAUUACAAAUACAUGUAUAUCCUAUCGCACGGCCUUUUCCUCCCCCUCCUUUAAAUGAAUGUAGUCUAAAAAUAUCCUGUACUCUAAAUUGCUUUACUACUGAGGCAAUGCCUUGCAAAAACACUAUGCUUACUUACAGAAGAAAACAAAACCUCAGACCCCAGACAGAAGAACGUUAACGUUAAUCAUCUUUCUUCUGACUGUAAAUUAACCAUAAUUUUCAACAUUGUGAGUGAUGUUACUGUCAUUAAAUCUCGUAGAGUCCCUGCUUGUGUUAAGAGCAAUAGUAUUUUACUUACAGUGAAAUUAUAGAGAAUAUCUCCUCACUUCAAAUUAAAAAUAGGGAAAAAAUGUAGAUAUUACUUGAAAAGUACAUAUUGUGGGUUGUUUUUUUAUCAUUGUGGCUCGCUAAAAUUAAUUAAUAUCAGCUACUGGAAAAUAACUGAUUGUCAAUUAUUUGUUCACAAAAGUACUUCCUGAGGAAAUAAGAAGAAAGAGAGAAAGAAAGAAUAAUAUACCACAAUAAUAAAUUGAAAGCAUAUUAAGACUAUUUUUCAAUUUUAGAGCCUGAUUCACCAAUUCACUUACAACAAAUUGCUCGCAUGACCAAUCCAUUGAUAAAAAGAGGUUUACUCAUGUAAAUGUAGUUACACAAGUGUGAGAUCUUGCAGGAGCAAGCCCUUGUCUGUAAAUAUUUGGAAAAUACAUCAUUAAUGAAAUACAGUGUAUCCUUCUGUUUACAAUAUGGCAAUGUCCAUUUGGCAGUUGUAAAAGGUGCUAAUGAAAGGCCAUCUUAAAGACAUGAAAAAUAGCUGGGUAUGAAUGACUUCCUUUUGAACUAGUUAAAUCCUUUCUGUAGAUGCUACCAAAAGGAACACUGAAAUGAAUCACUCUUUAGCAUUUUAACUCUUUUGUGCGGAAUCUUAGUGCUGCCAAUGUCAGAGUGUGGAGCUUAAUCUGACAAAAACUUAUCAACUUUGUCAUUUCCAGUGCAUUUACAUAUAAACAAGCAUAUAUAUGUAACCAAUUCAUUUUACUACAGCUAUUUUACACUAUGGAACCUUAAGUAGGUGAAAUACUAAAAAAGGCCAAUCAAAAUACUCUCCAUAUAUCCAUAAAACCCUUCCAACUGACUCUUAAAAAAAAGAAAGAAAGAAAAGAAAGUAAAAGAAAAGAAGAGAAAAGAAGAGAAGAGAAAAGAAAAGAAAAGAAAAGAAAAGAAAAGAAAAGAAAAGAAAAGAAAAGAAAAGAAAAGAAAAGAAAAGAAAAGAAAAGAAAAGAAAAGAAAAGAAAAGAAAAGAAAAGAAAAGAAAAGAAAAAAGAAAAGAGCAAUCACACACACAAAACCCACUGCUAAAUGAUGGAGAUGCAGGCUGCCUUACAGAAUAUUUUCCAGUUCUAUCUUGCUUCUGAUUUGAAAUUCCCGCGAGAAUAUGGGCAGGCCAGAAAUAUAAGCCACAGAAACAGGGAAGAAAAAAAAAAGUAGAACAUAGGGACUUGUAAAUAAAUCCACGGAUAUCAAGAAGCGGGGAUGUUACGAUUAUGCAUUUUACUGGUACACGUUGCUAGUAAAGCCAUAAGGCCAGACAUCAUCAGCAAGAUAUACUGUUGUCUGCGCUGCAGAGGAGGAGCGCAUAUGCAAGUGUACAUAUGUACAUACGUAUGUAUGUAUGUAAGUGCGCAUGCAUGUAUACGUGUGGAAGACAGAGGGGAGAGUGAGGAGGAAGAGAGAGGUGGGAGAAAGGAAGUGAGGUGGGGACAGGCAGACACAAUAGAGCAUAAUAACAUUCCUGCAUGUCUAAUACCUUAAAGAUGCUGUGUCCCUCUGCACCCUAUUGCACUCUAUUGCAAGCAGACUCAGAGACUCAGUCAAUAUUUCAUCCUUGAUUCAAGUACUUUUUAACAACACCAACAGAAAAGGAAAAAUGAGAAAAAAGGAAAAAAUAUUCCUAGUUUCAAGUGCAAGGAAAAAUGAAACAUUUACCAAUAUUUUGAAGACGUAACACUCCUUGCAUAUCUCACAUGCUUAACCUGGUACACAAAAUAUUUAAACUAUUUAUAAUUUAGUUACACGUCACACUUUAAAAUCCAUAGCAGAAUACUAAUAGUUUCAAUUUAUCUUUCAAUAAAGACAGAUUUUUAAAGAUUGCCGUUUCCAAGUCAAGCAGUGAAGCCAAGCCCAUAGUGGGCAGCACACAUCGGCAGUAGCAUUUGGUUCUUUUGGCGUUGCAGCAGCUCUUCUGGGAAAAUGGGAAAAUGGUAUUUUUUUGUUUAUGUGAUGGAUGCUGUGGCUUCAACAAAGAGUGACUGAAUUGUCUUAACAAAGAAGGGUCGGGCUGCACACUGCUCACAGAGCAAUAACCACCCUGUAUCUCUCUCAAGCCCGCAAUGUAUGUCAUGCAGGUCUCGAGUGGCUUUUGUUUUUGACAUCUUUUGUAAGCUCUUAGUCCCCCUCAGCCCUCCCUACAUCAAAUGUCAAGUUAAUUUACAGGGCGCUAUUACGGGUGCGUUUCCCUGCGCUGUGGCUGCCUGCCAGCAGCAGCUGGGACCUCGUGGGGCAGAAGGACAGGAAGCCCCUGGCCAUCAGUUGGGUGCUGGGAGCAACCAGCAAGGGAGCUCUCUGUGCAGGGUUGAGCCCUGGUGGCUGUUUGGAUUGCAGAGCUCCAGGAGGAAACUUUGCCUUCCUCUUGUAGGUGAAAGUCUCUGAUAUUAACAGCAGCAACUCUAAAUAAAUAUAAUUCCUUAUAAAUUUAGCUUAUGUGAGUACCAGGCAGAUGCCUGCCACUUAUUGUGUUCGGCUCCUUCGCGAUGCAAAAGGAACUCUCUAUCAUAACUGCUGCACAGCAUUUGUGAAAGGUGCCCUUUUAAUUUUAGAAAUUUACUUUCCAUAAAUUGCAUUAGAUAUGUUAUUUAAAGCAAAUUAAAACAACCCUUGAAAAUCUAUACACAAAUGCAUAAGAAUGAAUUUAUAUGGGAGAUGCAUUUUUUCCAACAGCUGCAUGCAUCACGUGGUAUUUUCUAAGCAGCAUAAAAAAUGCAAGCAUCUGUUACAUAUGAGUAGGCACGUAGUGAAUUUAGAAUGUAACGUCUCCUCACUUUCGUUACCAAUUUUGGUUAUGCAUAGAACUCCAGUCCUAAUAGCUGAUAGUGAUAAAAACUCAGAACCCCACAUUUUAAUAAAAUCUUAAUGAAAGGGAGCCUCCUCUUUGAGUGACAGUUGGAGCAAUGCCUUGACUCAUCACUAAUUUAAAGGAACACGUUACAGUUUCUUGAGGUGCUGCUCUCAGAACUGCUCCUCCAUCAAUCUGGACACAGGCUGUUGGUGCUGCCUGCAAGCUGCACAGGGGCUUGCAGGAUCAGGGUAUAAGCAGGUGUAUCCCCUUAAACAUGGCUCUUAAAUCUCAGAUUUUAAACUUAGCUUGUUCUGAGCACCAAGAGCAGAGGACACAUGCCUCUCAAAGGAUGACCUUAUGAUGAGGGUAGAGUACCAUUAGAAAAUGCACAUAGGAUAGAGCCCUUGCUGAUGUCAUUUUUCCUAUUAUAUUUUAUUCAUAUGAGCUUGUGAUAAUUUUCAUUAGUCAGAGAAUUGAGCUCUUGUGAUUGCUUUGGUCAAAGAACCUCUUGGAAAAGCUCUUGGUUUGCACACAAGGUCUUCAGGCUUGGAUCCUGGUGAGGAUGGGGCAGGGCAGGCACACCUUGCCGUCUGCUGGAAACAAAGCAUAUUCUCAAAGCAAACAGAGAAUAUUCCUAUGUUUGUGACUCACUGUUUUCUGAAAAGGGCAUCUUAAAACACUCUCUUGAUCUUCAUGAAUGCAUUGACAGAUUAUAAAUCCUGCCAUUAUAAAAAUACCACAUGUGGGGGCCAUACUGCUUUGUACAGAUGUGAUGCACAUGUACCCGAGCAUGCUUCCAGACACACGUGCUUGUGUAUGUGGGAAAAGCAUUUUACACUCCCUUUGUAUGCAAAGACAUAUCUGCAAGUUUUGUUUGCAGUGUGCCACAGUCAAAUUUGCAGUGCGUACCUGUGCAGUCACUAGAAACAAGCAAAUGUAAAAUACAAGGCACCUUGCACCUCCAUGUCAUAUAAAGCAAAGGCUUCCCACUUAUUCCAUUGUUUCAGUACCUUCUGGCUGUUUUCCCCAAUUAAAUUUGAGAUCUUGCACAAUACUGGAAGACAGGACUUUCAGUGAGGUCCUCUCCCACUUCCUCAUCAGAGAUGAAGGGAAGGAUCGUGUUUAUGUCUGUUAAAAAAUCCAUAGAAAAUAUCUUAAAAAAUUAAAGAAAAUGACAAAAAAAAAGUUUGUUUGCUUUUUUCCUAAGUGCAAAUGCAGCGGUGUAUGUAGGUACUUAAGACACAGUGAAGCGCACUCUUAAAUUUUAUGAGCAGCCAGUAAGAUCUAUUAAGAACGUACAUAAUUGACACCAAAGUGCUGUGCUUUCUUUAAUUUGAUCUGCAAUAUUUUUUUUAUUUAGUCGUGUAGCAGCACAUUAAUCUCUGUUAAGGCUGAAGGAUUCAUACAGUACUGAUGCUGCAUGUUUUGUCCUGUAAAAAUAAUAUAAAUACAUUUUUUUGCAAAGUAAUUAUCUCUACGGUAAUAUGCAGUAAUUAUCUGAGACACAGCAGGCAAUUUUACAAGGUUUGUUUUUGUUUGUCUGUAAGAAGUGAGUCUUCUCAGUCUCACCAUUGCAUACUGGUGUGUAGGGAAUACCACUGGUAUCUGAGGCCUCAGAGAGCACUGCCCCUCCAUUCACAAGUAACCUGAAUAAUUUCAAAUGAAAUCACAUCAUGAAUUUGAAGGACUAGUGGAUGUGCUAUCUACUUAAAAUGUGAAGAACAAAAAUGAUCAUACGUGGUAAUUACUACAAAACGGAAUUUUUAGGUUAGAUCCAAAUUAAUUUCUUCAAGAAAGAAUGUAUCCAAGCCUCAGGGAUGUGCAACAGAUCUGGAACGUGAUUGCAGUAUGCCAUAGCUAACUGCACGUCAUUUAAUCUCUUUGUCUCAAGUCUGUGCUCAAAAUAAAAAUGAGAGGAGAAGCUUGCUAAAUCUUUCUAUCCGGUAGGUGAUCAGAUUACUGAGGUAGUUAGACAGAUCAAACUCAUUUUCAGAAGCCAUUCCAAGAAAAUAAACCUUUUAGCUAUUAUCCGUAGUCAACAUAAUAAAAUGUAAAAUAUAUACGGACAGACUUCUAUUCAUUUCUUGUAAUAAGUGACAUUGAGGUAAGACCACCUUAGGUAUAUGCACACAUACCAGAGAUAGCUUGAAAACCAAUAACUUCAUCAAGAGGCAUGCUAGUAAAGCUAGGUUUCUUUAAAACAUUUUGUUCAAAUUUCUACCAAUUCAUCCUGUUCCCCAAAGAGGGCAAGGAAAUAUUACAAAUGCUAUAGAAAUGAAAAAGAUAAGAUUUUUGUCACUCUUGUUUAAUUUGAUGCAUGCUGCUGUCCUAUAAACGUCACACUGGAUAACUCAGAAAAAUUACCAUGAAUCUGCAUAAUUAUGCAAAUUCCUGAUGGUGUUUUGCAUAGAAUGAGCAGCAGGUAGAAUGGGGAAGCUGCAGAGGGAAGGGCUGAGGACAGACUGAGUGGUCUGACAGGCUAACAGUAUUGCCAGCAUCCUCCAAACAGAUCCCACUGCAGUUCUCUUCCUCUGGCUUUCCCAGACUAGAGCCAAUUCCCAAUGCUGAUCCUGCUGUGCUUGUGAUCCAUUGAUGUUUCAGUGCUUUGCUGCAAAGAUACUUUGCAAACAUUGAUUUAAUAUGAUAUUGCACCUCCCCUAGCCAAAGCUAAUGCUCCUGGGUGAAUGAAUACAUGAGCAAGAUGCCCUUAGCCAGGCUCCAUAAUAAAAGGUGUUUUGAAUAUCUGAUUCCUGUUGAAGAAAAUGGGAAUUGUGUAAUUGGAGUUCUUGAAGGAUUGUUCACUCAAUCCAUAAACCAGAGGAAGGUUAGCCCAAAUUUGGAGGACAUCUGUAUAUAAGGUGUCUUGCAGAACUACAUCCCAGCAACGUGGCCUUUCUGAGGCAGGUUUUAAUAUAAACACAUGCUAAAAGCUGUGUGAGCAUGCAUGCCUGAAUAGGUACUGCAAAAGCAAGCAUGCUGAGAAGAACGCACAUGAAACUUUGUUAACUUUAUACUGAUUGUUAAUUAGAAGGCUGGAAAAGAUGUACAUGUUUGCAUCCGUCAUUCUGUGCAUACUCACAUCUGGAGAUAGAUAUGUGUGUACCUAUAAAUAUUUUUAUUUAACUGUGAGUGAAUUUAUACGUUCUCAGGGCUGAGUGUACUUGAAAAGAAUUAAAGCACUGAAAGCAGUUCUCAGGUAUUUCUGACUCCAACACUUGUACAUAUUUUCUGGGAAAUGCUUGAGAAGUUUGCCAGUCAUGAGGCUACUGUCAUUUUAGUUGUUGUGAUGACUCAUCUGCAGAAGGGUAUGCUGUACAUAGACUCAGUGUGAGGCUUUGCUUUACUUAUGUAUGCUACAUUUAGCUAUCCAUCAGCCAUAUGAUGCUGUUCUUGUGCUUUAAAUGCCAAUCCUCUAAAGAAAUAGGAGAACCCUAAUUGAAUGAUCUGUUUGCUGUACUGCAAAAGCUGUGCAGAAGAUGUACAAGAAAGGUCCAUGACAAACCUCUAUUUUGAAUCCUUAGACGUAUUUUUUAUGUUGGCAGACACAAGAGAAUGCACAGUGUUUUGUAUGGAGAAGUAUCUGAUUUUAAACAACAAUAUUACAAAUUCUCUAUAUUUUCUUCUUUGGACUGACAAAUUUUGCGCAAAGGUGACUUGAGAAUUGUUUACAGUGCUCAGCUUCUGACCAAGGGUGCUCUGCUGUGGAAAUGCACAAACUUGCACCAUAUAACAACCCAUAGUCGUAUCAAUACUGGCACAUAAAAACACACUCUUGUAUACUCAGAUACUUCAUUAUAUUCACCAAAACUUGGAUUUCAGUGUAUUUACUUCCAGGUACUGACUUUUUCCUGCCUUACUGGCAAAGGGAGUAGAAAGUGUUUAUGAUGUAUUUGAAUUGCAAAAAUAGGACUGAUUUCACAAGGACUCCACCAUCUGAGAACACAGUGAACACGUCUUCUUUCCUUUUUUCAGUUUUUAGGAUUGUUAUCACAUUUAAUUUUUUCUCAUUCCACAAAAAUUAAAGAAUGCAUUUCGCUAGGAGCCUUAGCAUUACAUUUUCAACAUGUAAUGACCCAAUGUCUUGAUUUAAGCCCUGCCUAAGUGAAGUGUCUUUAUGUAAUGCUUCUGCAGACUGAAAAGGAUUAUAAGCAAAAAAGCCUACUUGGAGCAAUUAUCCUGAUGACGUUGUCUGGCUCUGUGUUUACUAGUCAGAAGCCUGCUGUUGUGAUCACAGAAGCUAUAACUGUGAAGCUGUUUAUUCAGUAACUAUAUACACAUAUAUAUAUAUAUGCAUAUUAUUAGUAUUAAGUUAAACAGCAGCCCUUUGGUUUUUUUGGGGGGAGAAAGGUCGCUGGAGUCAAAUGAUGCCUCUGAAUGACAGUACCUGCUGUACAACAGCCUUAAUGCCCAUAUGAAUGCAGUUUGCAGCUACAAUGGGAUAAUGUUAUUCUGUACACAAAUAAGUAAGCUUUGUGAAAACACAGUCUAGGUUUGCUAUCAGUCACAGAGUAGUUGAAUGAAUUCUUAGAACUAUAGUUACUGCAAUCACGUACAUGUGAGAAAAAAGCAAAGUGCAGUGGCAUGAUUUCAUGGGUGAUAAUCUGUCUCUUAAAGGCACUCUGGUUAUAUUUCAAUUAUGUGGCAUGCAAAAACAACACCUGGAAGCACUGUUCAGCAAAUGCUAGGUAUUCUAGAUGUACAUUACCAGGCCAUGACAUAACACUGCAAGCACAGGGAAAUUAGAUAUUCUGUGUGGUGCCUGCAAGUAGUGCUUCCAUCUCCACAUUUCAUGUGUUUUAGAUACAUGAUGGUUAGUGCCAAACCUAUGGGAAGAAUACAAAGGUAGAGUAACUCUGUGCUUGGAAAAUUCUCACUGGACAGUCAGUAAUACUGCAUUCUUCAAUUCCCAGAGAGAAUCAACCCAGAUUCUCAUGCAUUUUAUGCUCUAAAUAAUUUGAGGAAAAAAUGGAUUGAAUACACGAAGCCCUUCCAGGACAAGAUUAUUGACAUAUUUUCAAAAUAUAUACUGUGAUUAUGUCUCCUUUCUAUACUUAUUUUAUUUGAAGGCAAAAAAUAUAUAUAAAUUAAAAAAAAAAAAUUGUCCCAAGCUGCUUACAGAAUGAGAAAAUAUUUUUAAAAAGUGAAAAGGGCAUAUAUGUAUAUGCACACAUGCAUGCACAGUUACUCUGGUAUAGAUAUACAGCUAUACAUAUGUGCUAACCUCACCAAUUUUCUAUGCAUGAGUAACUGUAAGAUUUUCAUGUAUGACAACACUGCUUCUCUAAAAAAUGAAUGAUGCACAGAAUAACAUCAAGCAUAAUAUGGAACAAAACAUUCAUUCUUAUAAGGAUUAACCAAAAAAGAAACAACUUGUAAAGUUCAUGUUCUUUGUUGUCUUUUACUAGGAAAGACAAGAAAGCAAAAAUCCACUGAGAUAGAUAGUUACAGCGAAUUAUUUAAUAAGCUUUUAAACAUAUAAUCUCUUACUUACUUCUGUAGUCCUCCCUUGAAUUGUCUCCACCAACACUUAUUUAGUCGCUGACACUUAAGAUAAGUGAAAACUAUAGCUAGCAUCAGACUCCGAAAGAAACAUUAAGGAUCCUAACAAAAUCACUGGAGCAAUCCUGCAUUUACAGGAUUGCAUUUACAAAGUGCAAUUAGCAUUUUGUAGCUAAUCUGGCUGAUGAACUCAGGAGCAGGACACCGUUACAGGAUGCCCUCAGAUUCAAGGAUGUGCUCAGAUGUGAGCUCUUUGUUGAGUGAGAGAGAACAGGAAAUACGGUGCAACGGGUGUCAAUGAGUUCUGCUCAGGCCACUGCAGAGCCGAAUGAGGUGGCCAACUCCAGAAGUGCCAGUGGUGCCUUGUGCUGAGCAAUGGAUGUAUUCCUUAGUUCCCAAAGCAGAAAGCUUUUGCAAUCCCUUGAAGAUUUUCAGUGUUUCUCCUGCUGGGGCCUGCUUUGAAAGUACCUAAUAUUUAGUGCACUCCUCAGGCAAAUCAGUCACUUUUUACAAGCUAGGAAUGCUAGUCAACCCCAUCAGGGCUGGUUUGGGAAUUCACAGAGAGGACCAUAGUUUUUGUACCUUUACUUCCCACCAUACUUCAUGUUUGGCACUGGUAUAGAAAUCUGGAUAGCAACAGUGUCUCUUUCUAGAUCUCGUGUUUUCCAGCAAUGAUUUGUAUUUUCUUGUUUUGUUGUUUUAUGAUAAGAGAAAUCAUUGAUAAAUAACUGAGCUAUACCUUGGACACAUCUAUGCCCACAGCCUUCUAUCACUCAGCUUCCCAUCAAGUUCUAUUUUCUCAGAGUUCUUGUUCUGUAUUCCCUGACAUUUUCCCCCAUGGUCUUCCUUGCUGUUUGUUGUUGUUGUUGUUGUUUUUUGUUUGUUUGUUUUUGCCAGUUUUGUACACACUUCACCUUCAGAGGCACUCCCCUCACUCCCUGCCUCCUUUCCUUCACUUCAUCUCAGUUGUUUUCUUUCUGCUCUAUCACCUUCCGUAUCCCUACAGCUGAAGACUCCCUACAUUUCUCUGUCUCUCCCACAUGAAUUUAUUUCCUUGCCUGCUGUUUCCCGCAUCACUCCUACUCUCUAUAGCACCUCCCCUCUUUGCUCCCUUCUGCCCUUGCAGCAGUACCCGGCUGCUCACCCCUGGCCUCACUCCUAGGGGAUGUGCAGCCCUUCAUGCUCUGCUUCCCAUGAGUGCUGUCCUCUCCUGCAGCUGCUCAGUGCUCUUCAGGCUGGUCCCUGGGCUUUGAAGUCUAAUUAGGAGCCACUUGUUUUUCCAUGCAAGUGCCCUAGAUGCACCUGGCUGCUUUCUUUGGUAGGAGAGGGCUAAAGAAAGCUUUUGGCAGCUGAGGCUCAGCUGAGGCUGAACAGCAUUAAGCUGUGCAAUCACAUUUAAAAGCAUUGCCCAUGUGCUUGUUUUCAACACGCAACUGAGAUGUUUAUUCCACAAGUAGUUCUGUAUAUAUUCUUUAUGUUAUGAGCAAUACAUGUACAGCAGACUAUAUUUCUAUUCCUGCAUCCUCACGUACCGCAAUUUAUAAAAACACCAUGGUGUUGUAUUUUAAUAUAUGAUGCAAGCAGGAAGCAUGCAUCUCUAUCAGAAAUACUGAUCAGUGCUCCUAAACAAAGUAUUUCAUGGCUGCUGCACUGAUACUUGGAGGAAGCAGCUUUACUAUUUUAUGAAGAGUGGUCUGUUUUCAGACAGGACCACAUACUUGUGUUAGACCAGACCUACUGAGAGUGUCCAUGUGUAGGCUAACAAAAACAAAUGUCCCAGCUGUGGGCAUUGCACUGACUUAGAAGCCCGAAUUUAAUUCCUAAGUCUCGCCGUAUUUAAAAGUUAAUGCAGCUACUUACAUGCUCUGCUAAUUAAUUCUUAAUUUAUUUAUCUGUCUGCAAGUUUAUUCUCAAUGAAAGAUUCACUGACACAAUGUAGUGGAUGAGUUUUUUUUCUCAGUUUUAAGUGUCAUGUGAAGUCCCUCAUGUGAAAACUGCAACUCACAAAGAUCCUCUGCACAGGGAGAGUGCUCACACACAAUUUUUGGUGAGGAUGGGGCCUCCAACUAGCGUGAGAACUUGCACACAGGAGGAAUCAAUGAGGUGGCUGAUUGCGUGCAGGACUAAGCCCAGAUAUAGUUACUGUGAUAGGAACAGAAGCAGUCUGCACAAAUGUCAAUGCACGAUGAAUGUGGGAAUGUGUAUGUUUGGGAAAGGCAUGUUGCUCUCUGGUGUUCAUAAAAUUUAUACCAUAACUGUGUAUUGCAAGUGUCAAUAUAAAUAUUAAAAAAUCUUCAGAUAAUGUAUUUCUAGAGUGGACAUAAUUCACAUAAACCUCAGUGACUCAGAAUAGCACUGAAUGCCUAGAAUUGCAAGCACUUAAGCAAGGUGUUGUUGACUUCCGCGAAGCUCCCCAUAUAAAGGAAGUUACCUCUUUUGCUAAAUGUUCUCAUUAUUGUGUUCUGAUAACAUCACUCGAUAACACACUUCUACAAAAAACACCACCCUUUAAACAGCAAGCUUUUUCUUUUUUAUUCUUUUUUGUUGUUGUUGUUUGUUUGUUUUCAAUUUUUGCUUUGAUACUGCAUGGAAAAAGUGGGAAUAUUCUGCAGGAAAACAGAAAAAUGUCUAGAUGUUGCAAAGAUCUUUUAUUUUUUUUUCCCCAAGAAACCCUAAAGUAUUUAAGUAAUAGAGUUCCUUGCUAUUUUUUCUCCAUGUCAGGAGACAAAUGGGAGAACCGUUUGCUCCCCAGUAACACUCAGGAUUAGUUCCUGUUUUAUAGAAUAAACCAGAAACCGCUUGUGUCUUGUAACUCAUUAUAAACUCUGUUCAUUUAUACCAUCUAUCUAAGCAGUAGCCUCAGUUGCUGUCAUUCAUAAGUAAAAGAUGAGAACAAAUUGCGGCAGUACUGAUUGGCAUAGUAAGUAAAAACAAAUGAAUUUUAGUUAAUCCUAUUUUGUAACUCAACAAAUAUGCUGUUAGACAGCUCCCCAUUCUUGGCCUAGUGGACCACAUGCUUGAGAAACUGAAAACAUCUUUGUUUCACAUCGUAAAAAUUUCUAACUAACUGAUACCAGUUUAUCAGUGACUAUUCAAACCAAAGAGAUGUACUGUUGGUCUCUCCUCCUCCAAAGUAGUUGGCUGCAUGCAUGAUGCCAGGAGGAAGAGGAAGAUCAGGGCAGCACCCUGCCUUCCUCAGCAGGAGUGUUUGUCCUCAUGUUCCUCCAAGAAGAAUGGCUGGAGCGUAACCUCUGGGCAGUGUAAAUCUGCUGCCCCAUGCCGAGGUUUCAGUGUGCAAGAUGGGAUUUGGGAAUAAGCUGAAUCUUCUCCACCCUGAUGAACUGCAAAGACGUUCCUCCACAGCCACAUGAGCUUCCUUCAUGGCUUCCACCAAAAUCCAUUUUACAAACUUGUACAUAUGAGGCAGUGGAAUUUCCUAUAUUCAUUCACAAUCACAUUACCAAAGAUUCCCAAGUCCAUUACCAUUUGCUUACUACUGCGUAAGUCUUGGAUUCACAUCACACUACUCCAGUGUAAGUAAGUAAGUAAGUCUGAACAUUUUCUACAUUUCUACCAGUUUUCCUCAAACCAGUGCAUCUUGGUAUAUAUAUGAAGCCAAAGAUUUUGUUCAGCUUUCAAGAAAGCCAAAUCAUACCAAAUCAGUUGAACUCUGCAACUCAGCCUUGCUAGAAAUUUUACUUUAACCUGAAUGCUGUGCUUUUAUGGGAAGUUUCCAGUUUUAUGGAUUGCAGUGCAACCUGGAUCCUUAAAGUUCUGGGUAUGAGUAACAUAUCCUUGUAGGAAGACUAAUAAAAGACCAAAGUGGUAUUUCAUUCUUCUUAACCACCCCCAAACCCAUUUCGAAGCAGGCAAUAGAAAAAAGCCUCAGUUUAAUCAUAAGGAACGCUACCCUGAGUCCUAAGGAGACUGAAAAACCAGUUCUACUCUACACAUGGUUCUGCUUACAUGAGAUGAUUUAGGCUGCACCAUGAUUCUGGUCCCAGAUAAUUCAAUAGGCUUAGACCUAGCUAAGUGUACUCUGACUACUCUCUGUGCUGUGUUCAUUAGGAAAAUUAAGAAAAGAGAUAGUGAUGCUAAAUUAGUAGAAAAAUGAUGGUGGCAACAAAGAGUAUUUUGCAGUAUGUCAAGGUUAUCUGCAUUAUAAAUUGUCCACCACUUUGUAUGUUUACAGGUACAUAAAGAAAUAUACUAUGAACAGCAAAGCAUUAUGUACCUAGUGCAUAUAUGGAUGUUUUCCUGUCAUCAGCAUAUACUUCUGGAUGAAUUACCAGUUCAUGCUAGUCAAAAGCAAAAGCCUAAAAUUUUGAGCCUUCUGAGUCUGAUCUUUCCUGACCAGAAAUUUCUGUUAGCAUUAAUAAGAGUGGCAAUAAUCAGCAUUUUGGAAACUCAGCAGUCCUUAGAGUAAAAUUUUGCAAAGCUCUUGAAUAUGCUUGUAGGAGAGGUAAAAUCUUUUAUUAACCUCACUGACAUGUUGAAAAACAGGGAGGACUUCAGGCUCAUCAGCUCUUCCUAGUGUCUCUGCAUAGUAAAAGGUAUUAACUCUUGCUAUAAACAUUACCUCAUGCAGAGAGGCCUUUGUGCUUGUAAUAAAAUUACUAUAAAAUUGUCUUCAAGAAUUUAAACUUUUUAUUUUUAAGGGUCCUAGUUUAGCUUCCAGUUUUUGAUGGACAUGAUCAUGUGCAUUCUUGGUUGAGGCUUUCCGGGUACAUAGUGUUUGGUCUUGGAUUAAGCCGGUAACAGUUUUACACAGCCAUAUUACUCUUCCAUUUUUUUCCUAUUUUCAUUCCUUCUGAUAUUCCAUUUUAUCCUGAAAGUCUUUAUAUUUAAGAUUUUUUUUUCCCGAUCUUGAAAUCUGCUACUGAUGAAAUCAGUGAGACCUAUGUCACUGAUGUCUGAACAAGAACAACAAAGACAUGAUAUUGACAGAAUAUAUCAAGCAGAGGUUUUCUUGUGAUUUUAAAGGCUAAUUCAUGCAUCAUUUUAUUUUAAAAAUCAAACCUGACUCUUCACUGAAGCAACUUGUUUGCACUCUUCUAAUUUGUACACAAGGAAUAAGCACCAUAACGUAUAAUUUUUCACACGAGGCCACUCGUUAAUAAAAUGAAUGUUUGGCUACAGCAGUACUGCAAAAAUAAUUUUUGGCCUUUUGUGAAUGAAAGAGAGGAAAAAUCUGUAUUUAAUGGCUGCUGAUAGCUCUGACGUUCUGACACAGUGAUGUGAAUUAUGUCACAAAUGAAGCUUUCUAGUUUUCUGUCCCUUUCUUGACUAAGAAACCUAUAUCUGUCCUCAAUCAUAUUACCAAUUGUUUUUAUGUUUGCUGUAGCCUGCACCAAAUCCUACUCAUAUACUGUAGGAGGAAGGCUAAUUCGCAAUAGUAAAAAAUCAGACUGCUAAAGCACAGGCUGAACCUAGACUAGACUGCAGUGUUUUUGCAAUUGUGAUAGGUGCAUUUUGUGUUGUUUUAAUGUUUUAAUUACGAUACCUGGUUCUUUAGAUAAACAAAUCAUUAUUAAGACAGAAAAGACUUGCUGGUAUAAUUUCAUUUUACCUUUCAGCAGCAUGCUGCCAAACCAAGCAGUUUGCUAAGAAGGUCUGAAGAUAAUAUUCUGUUCUUGCAGAUUUAAAAAAAAAAAAGGAGUGGGGUAGAAGUGAAGUGAAAAAGCAAAGGGGGUGGGAACAUCUUACCAGCCUAAUAGUGCUAUCUUUUAUGCUGAGACCAUCUUUGAGUUCAUUUUCAAUCCAGAAUGAGAAUUAUUUGAUAGGCUCACUCAGUAAUUAGCAAGAUCUAUAAUGACUAGAACUGAUUCUCUUCUUUUGUGGAAUCCAAGAAACUGAGUGCCUCUGCUCACAGCAGAUAGUUAGGCAGACUGCAACUGACUGGCUUUGUCACAGCAAUACUUCUACUGCCUAGAAAGAAAAAGGAAAGCUAUCACUACAUUAAUAGCUAGGUUCAUGUGUAAAGUAAUUUCCUGAAGGGGCAGAAGCGGUGUUGUAUUGCUACAUUUGGUUGUCUAUGUUGUUGUUGUCAACAAAUGCAACUGAAUGUAUGGAUCUGUGGUGGACAUAGACAAGCAGUACAGAGUACUUUAGAAUGGGCUCAAAACUUAGCUUAUUUUUAAUAGUCACACAAUUUGCCAGCUAUAAAUAAUUCUAGCUCUUUCUGGCAAUCCUGUAGCAGGCUGCUGUGCUGGCGACUUCCGUGUUUUGGUCUUGUUUAUCGUUUGGCUCUUUUCUGAUGGUUAGCAAAAGAGACACUUUCAGGUUCUGUUCAAGGAACCUCAGGGCUCUCUCCUGGCAUUUCAGCCUAAUGGAAUUAAGCCUGACAUGUUUCAACUCUAUUUCUUUAUAAAAUAAACAUAAAACAAUGGUCUAGAUUUCUAAUAAAACUCUUGAACCAUGCAAGAUUCAAGCUUUCCCUGCUCCUUUACACCUCUGUCAAUGAAGACCAUAAUGGGGGAGUACAACGGGAUAAAUCAACAUGAAUCUGAAAUCCACUGCAGCAUAUUAAAUGGCACGGUCUCGCUGAAAGAAAGGGCGACCCUGCAGCUCCUUGCAGUUUGAAGCUAAUUGUUUUUGUCAGGAUGGGAACGUCUGGAAGUCCAUGGCAGCAUCCCACCAGCAAGGCUUCAGUAACUGAGCCAGCCUGCGGAGAAUGAGCCCACUUUGUAGCGACGCAGCGGGCUCAGACACCACCUAUUCUGUUCUCCAAACUGUCAUGCAUAACAACUUCAUUGUGCUAAAUUGAACUUGAAAGCAACCAAAGGCUAUGAGAAGGAGAGGCUAUGAGAAAAGCGUUCUGUCAGCGCUGGCAAAGGCUGACCUGGAAAGUAGGCUCAGAGACAGGAGAAUAAAAGACCAGGGCCUAUGAACACCACAUAUUGUUUCAUUUUAAAGUAUGAUUCCCAUACCAGCAAAAGUAGCAAAUGUGAUGUAAAUUUAUUUAAAUGGAUUCCACCGCUUAAAAGUUUGCUUGCCUCUCUUAUCCAAGUUUCCCAGCUCUCUGAUUCGUUACUUACAGUGGGAAUAUAAUGACAUACAGUCAUCAUUGUAACAGCUUCUUUGCAGGGGCACAAUGAUGAUUAAUAGUUGGCAGCAAAUUUUCACAUGGGCUCUGAAGCACUAUAGCGUUAAGCAGCCGAACACUCCCAAAUCCCCCUUUUCUGUUCCCCUGAAAAGUCCUCUCCUUGUACCUUGCAGAUAUGAACAAAGCCUAUCUUAAUUCCAAUCAGCUUUUCCUCAUUCAAAGAAACUUUCUCUUUUCAUAAUUGAUUCUUAUGCAUUUUUUUUUGCAGCCUUUCUCUUAGCCUGUGAAUUUUUAUUGUAAUUUUUUUUUUUUUUUUUUUCAGGAGAAGGUAGGAAAUCAUUUCAGAAAUAAUUUGUUUAGCUUUGUUUUCCCUUCCAAAAUAUACUCCAAGACAUUUCCCAGCAAGCUGAGCUACAUAUAUAAGAAAGAAUCAAAAACCAGAAGGCUGACAAAGAGGCCUUAGCUUUCCCUGUGUUGAAGGAUGAUUAGCCUGGAGCACAGAGGGAUGAGCUCGGAGAAACAGCUCUGGUAAAGUGAGGCAAAGACUGGAGAGCUACAGCAAUAAGCUGAUUUUAUUUAUUGCAUCAGUUCUCAUUCCCAUGAUAAAUUUACAAAUAAAACUGAAAUGGACUUAUUUUCCUGUGCAGAACUAUUUCAAAUAUAAGAUAUCUUUGAAUAGAAAUAUUUUAUCAGAAAUACUUAGAAAUACUUGAUUUUUCUUUUGGUGUUUAUUCACUGACAUGAAUUUGCUGGCUUUCCACAAACAUCCUUUCUACAGUGACAGAUUAGAAGCACUUUGGGAGCUGAUUCAGUCUUCCCUUCAUCAGUUUCAUGUAUUACCGCACCUGGACAGAAUUACACUCGAUUUGCCCCGGAACGAACAGAAUGAUCAGAAAAAUUCUGUCUUGAUUUUCAUUUGGGAAAACAUUUUUAAAGACAGAGAAAAAUCUCAAAGCAAUAUUGGAAAGCUAAACAUCAGUCUGUUUUUCUCUCCGUGCGGAAGAAACUGUUACCAUUCUAUAGUUUCACAUACAGAUCAUAUACUGCUAAUGUCUCACCGAUGAUACGCUUUGUGCAUUAUUGGUGUUCUGCUAAUGAACUGCUGUACACUAAAUUUGAUCUGUCCAAUGUCAGAAAGUAUUUCCUGGCCAUUAACAUAUCCAACAUAAUGCAGAAAAGAAUGAGUUUUGAAAUUAACUUAAUAUCUAGGAAUUAAUAGUGUUUCCUUUAAUGGCUUCAUACAGUAGGUGAGAUGAGGAAAUAAAUGCGUAUAGCAUCAACCUUCUCCUUUAUGUGCUUUAACAGAGCGCUCUAUUCAGGUCGCCCAUAAAUUUAGCAGAUUUAUUUGUCAAAAGAGGAUAAAUUUUCCUCCUAGUUUUACUCCCAAACUGUUCUUUUGAAAAAAAUAUAAACUAACUGGGAACGUUUCCAAUUAUUUGUCAUCUUUGGAAAAUUUUCAUUCAGUUCAUUUUGUUUCAGUUUUCAGUGAGACAAAACAGAAGACUGGUUUAAUGAUUUCCACUGAAAAUAUCUUAAGGUUGCUUAGGAAAUAGCACUACAUAUCAAAAUCUCUCAGGAGAUCAAAUUCUGACUCAAUUUCUCCGUGCUGCAGAGCUUUGCAAGCAGGUCUGCCACUUUUUUUUUGUAAUCUUUCUGAGAUUUUUACCCUGGUGUAACUUAGCAGAGUUACAUAUGAUUUAAUACACGUGACCCAAGGCUUGAAUCAGGCUCAUGGGAAUUUUGUCAAGUAUUAUUGAUGCUCAGUGAAGUAAAGGUUGCAUCACAAAGGUGAGAUUCCUCUGCUGUAUCACUGGGUGACACUUCUUUCGUUUAACUGGGAGAUAUAUCACAUUCAAGAAAGCCUUUCUUUGUUUUCUACAAGCGUUUUCACUUUGCACUGUUUUGCAAUUUGACGGAAGGAGUUAAAAAUAAUGUAAAUUCUAACAUAUAUUGGUAGCUGGCACUGAAUGAUACUUACAUUCCAUUAUUUAAGAGGGACGAUCGCAGAAAAUAUUCCUGGAGGAGCAGGAACCUAAAAUUACAUAUGGAUGAGAGUGUUUUGUUCUCAGGUUUAUGGACCACGAGUUCCGAAGGUAGAGUCACAAAUCUGCCCCCCAUCCCUGCCCACAGCAGAACUCUGGGUUCGAAGCAAAAUGUGUAAAAUAUUAUGCAGCCAGUGAACUCCCCAUUGAUUAUGCAUCUGAAAAGCAUGACGAGUGUUGUUAUUUCUGCAAACACAUAGAAUGCAUGCACAAUCCUGAUAGUCUCAAGCAGUGGAAUGCAAAUAACUGGCAUGUGAGACUAAAAUCUCAGAUGACAUACCCCUUUCAGGAAGUGUCAGCAUGAGCACAUUCAACACACCAACAUGGUCAUGCAUUGUAAUGCACCUUUUGGAGGACAGCAGAGUCCCAGCACAGCCAGGGUUUUACAGAAAAGAGGCUUGCAGAAGUGCAUUUGUUCAUUCUUGUUUCACAGAAUGUAGCUUUAUGUAACUACAGUUUUAGACUGGAAAACUUCUUUUACCAAAAGCCUCUGGUGGUUUCUGGGCACAGGUCAUACCACAUAAUUUGCUGAAAAUAUUAGAUGGAUCCAACCCAAGAGCAUGGCCAAAUAUUCACAAUCAUGCAGAGGCCUAGCUCUAAAUCUCAGGCCCAUGUCUCCAAUGUACUUUACCUUGUAUCUUCCUCUGUAUUGUGAGCUUCCCACCCACAGGCUUCAGCUGUCUUUCCUCAUUUCAGACUGCAUCCACUCCCACUCCACCAGCAGUCUUGAGAUAUUUUGAUAGGCAUCAACUCUCCAAGGUUUCAUAGACAACACCACAUACCUGACCAGCACAGUGAUUGCAAUUACACAUAUUGAAUCUAGGAAAAUUCUGAAGUAGGCUUAGCUGAAUUUAGUCAAAAAAGAGUCUAAUUCUACUAUCUUUGCUUAUGCUGAGUAACCCACCUCAAGUCUUCAGAGGAAAACUGCUGCUGAAUAGGACUCACCGCUUUUUGUGAUUUGGUAGCAAAAAGUUCACAUUUCUUUUCCACUUUAACUUGUACUUCGUAAAUAUAUUCCUUCCCUCUUUCCACUUUCAGCCUCAUCAAACUUUCUUACAUAUUUUUUCCCCAAAGCUGCUUCCUCACAUGCUUCUUCUCUUUCCUCUGUCAUUUUUUCCUCCAAUCCAGAAAAUUCUGAUUAUUGCUCUCUGUGCAGAUACCUGCACUCCUGCGUAAUCUUCCUUUCUUCUGCCGAGUGCUAUGCCAUCAUAAUCCUGUUUUUGUUUUUUUUUUUUUUCUGUUUCUUUUCUUUUUUUAAUUAAAUUUCAUCUUUAUGCUUUGGUUCUUCAUUGCAGCCUUACAGCUCAUUUCCUCUUUUAUAGUUUGAUGACAGCUCAUGCUCUCCAUUUUCAGUGGUUUGUAUUGCCUUUUUAAGAUCACACCACUGUGAAGCUGUGCUACACUCUCUGUGCAUUGAAGAUCACAGACCUAAUGUGCUUAUUAAAUGGUGUAAUUCUGCCCAUGUGGACUUACUUUCAUAAGGAGGAAUAAGCAAGUUCUGUAUAGUCCUUCAGUUCUGCAUAAAUCAACUUGUCUCAUUCCAGAUUUACACAGUUGCAUAUUUCCAAGUUAUUCUGUUUUAUUAUCCAGUUCCACAUCACUACUUGUUUUCUCUGUGAGCUAUCAACCUUGUGAUGAAGCUGGAUUAAAUAUUUGGAUUAAAACUGCAACAAAACUGCUAACCAAAUGCAUUUAAUUGUCUUGGGUAAAAAGGCUAUGAAUGUAUUGGCAUUACAUUUUGUGCUUAGCUUCAGCUGCAACAGUUCUUGUUGAACAAAGAAACCAAAUACUGCGAAGAAAAACCACUUCAUUUCAAAGUUUACCAAAUUAUCCACAUAACAACUUUUACUUUUAAGUAUGAGCUCUGAAAGAAUUAUAAGAAAUAGAAAUGUCUUGCAGAAGGCUACCCCCAGAACCCCAUCUGCCAUUUUCUGAUUUUUAUUUUUGCCCCAGGGUUUCUGUGUAUUAGUUAGGUCAUCAGCAAGAGUAAUAAAUCAUAAGUAUCAUUAGUAUCAUAGACACAGAUAUCCUGUGACAUCAUGUUUCUUGAAUUAUUCUUCUGGUCCCUUGCUGACAAUUUCUCUUAAUUGCUGUGAAGGCGGUCUGUGCUUUCUGUCUUGAACGUGCCAGUUCCUGUUUUCUCUCUGUCUCACCUUUAACCUUUAACUUUCAGACUCUCAUGGAUCACCAGUCAUUGUAUGCUUAUCCAAUAAAGAGCUAUCUCAGAAAGGAGUCUCCUCCUAAGCAUAAUACAUCUUAUUCCUCCAGUCUCUUCAGCAAACCGUCCUCAAAGAGAAGCACUUUGUACUCUUUGGAAAAUAAAGAAGCAAAUGUACAACCUGUUAUAGGUAGAGUCAGCACAUGUCACCUCUUGCCCAAACAUCACACAAGACAAAGUGUUGUGAAGAAUAGGAGACUAAAAUGUGAGCAAAUACUGAGAGGAACUAUUAUGACAUGAAUCCUGCACGUACUGAGGCAAUGGAGAAGAAAAGACUUAUAAAGGACAUAGGGAAUCUUUCUAUUUUUACAGAUGAUGAUAGGAAGAUGGGGGAAACACCAGAGUUAUGGAAAUGUUUCCAUAAGAAAUUAUGUGUUCUUUUUUCUUUAAUUCACAUGAUACAACCUGUUUACGUUUUCACAUUCUGAAAGAACAUAAAAAACUUUCCAGAGAGACACUGGAAAACUGGGGAUGAUCUAGCAAAGGAGCAUCAAGAUGAUUGGAAUGCUGGGGAACUUGAUGCAUGGAGAAAAGAUGAAGGAACUGGGUUUAUUCAGCCUGGGAAAGGUCAGGUGUUUCCAUAACUGAAUGGCUGUUACAGAGAAGAACCUAUCCCAACUUCACAAGGAUGUGUGAUGGCAGGGCAAUAGGCAGUGGGCACAGGAUGCCUGAGGGGAAGUUCUAAAGAAAGAAACUCACUAUAAGAACUCUCAAAUACUGGAAUAUUUUGCCUGGGGAAACAGUAGAGUCCUUGAUGGAAAUAUUUUAGGUUUGGCUUGACAGUGUCCUCAAUAACCUAAUCCAAGGCUUUGCUUUCAGCAGAAGGUUGGAUCAGGUGAUCUCUAGAGUUCCUUCCGACCUAGGGUUCUCCAAGAUUCUGGGAUUCACUUGCCAAUGCAUACUAGAACCAGCUUUAUUGUAGGGUUCAAAUCCCACAGUAAGACAAACAUCAUAUAUAUAUAAAAAUAUAUAUAUAUAUAUACAUUUAAAAUACUAAAAUAAAACAACAUCUUUCCAAGUUACAUUCAUUUCAUGAAAAAAAGCUGCUUAACUUUUCUAAAAGAAUCAAGAAUCCAGGCUUCCAGGACAGCCACUCUCCACUUUACUCCACUCCACUCUAACCAUAUGCUGCUCUGUCAACUCUGUCUUAGUUGUAUAACAGUGAAGCAAGCAUAAGAUAGUGUGAGCUUCUGUUAAUGUAAAUAAGUAGUUUUGAUAAAAUGUUUAUUGUAAGAGCAAUCAGACAACAUCAGUUUGUAAAAACUGAAUUUUAAUUGUUUUAAUUGUAUUCCUCUAUGGCUAAUGUCAUUUGAUUUUAUCUCCUCAGCCCCUCUUUAUUUGUAUUUCCUGUCUCCUGGACUCACCACUGCUAGCUUGAAUCAUCAAAUCAGCUAGCAUUUCAAUUAGCUGCCUCUCAUUUCUCAUUCCUUUUGUUAUCAUUUGCCCAAUAAGAGUCCAUCAGUUCUCACAUCUUACUGCCAUGAUGUACUUUCAACAUAAUCUCUGCUUGGAACUAAUCUUGUGCUAUAAUCUUUCAAAUGAAAUUCCUUUCCUCUGUUGACCUCCACCCCUACGCUUUGCCCUUUCCAAGAUGUACAGCUUGACAGUCUCAUAUCUGCAGUACUUCUUUAUUCUACUGGAAUUAUUAUCCAGGACUUUUCUUUCUUUAUAUUGUUCACUCUUCAUCUUUCUUUUCACCUUUAGUAUUUGCCUCUGGUAAGACCACAAACAUUACUUUAAUCUUCCAUCUCUAAACUUUCAUUUUCUAAAGUGAUUUCCUUCAUUUGCAUAUUUUGUAAAAAUUUUAUUUGUAAAAUAACUGCAUUUCUGUUUCCUGAUCAAGUGCUGCUUUUGCCCUCUUCCCUGCCUGUUCUGCAGCUUCCUGCCCUUUGUUCUUACUUCUAUAGGAGAACUCAUUCACUCACACAGUUCUUUCCACUCUCUAAAAAAGACAGCCAGUCAGUCUAUCAAAUAGCUUUUGACAUUAGUUAGAUCAGCCUGAAGAUGAUCUCAGUGACCUCUCUGCAUCCCAGAGGAACUACUGCAUUGGGUACCAAUCAGAACAAUAAUUACAUAUUUUGCCCUAUAUUAUCUGCCUGGUCACUAUGCCUCCCUGGCUUUCCACGCAUACAAAUAAGUGGCAAGUGACAGUGCAGAGCACAAAACCAUUGUAUCCAGGUUGGUAGGUUAUACCUCUAAGACUGAUGUUUUCUCACCAUUGUGAACACAUAAAUACAACUAAUAAGAACUUGAUCUUAUUCUUUCAGGAAGCCACCAGAGUGAAAACACAUAUGUAAUUCAGAUUUUCUGUAUGAAUCACAGAUUUUUCACAUCAGACUACUCCGUUAGGUGUAGACAGACGAAAAUAUCUAUAUCAAAAAAGUCACAGAUCAUUGAAUCUAAGACCAAGGGAUUUUCUAGGCUUUAGAGCUUCCUUAUACAAGGAAGAGAAGAAAGGAUGAAAGAUGCACAAUAACACUAAUCGAUAGAGAAAAUUCUCAGCUAAAAACACUAUUUUUCAGCAUAACCACUACCAUUAGCUGUACAUUUUUCCAGCAAUGAACAAGAGCUGGCAUGCUGCGCUUGAAAAAAAUCUGCACCAGUGGAGGUGACUUGCUGCUUCACAGCUGCUAUGGCAGCAUUGUUGUUUGGAAAAUGUUGUCCAGGGAGUGUCCUUGAUCAUCCCAAACAGAUGGAAGUCAGAAGGCACCAUAUCCAGACUACAUGGUGGUGUGGUAGGACACUCCAGCCAAGACUAGCAAAGUGCUCCACAGUCUUCAAACUGGUAUGGGGCCUUGUGUUGCAAGAGAACAGCUGUCUACUUCUCUGAUCUGAUUCUGGAAAUCAGUCAGUGUCACAGUGUAAUGGUCUGAGCUGAUGGUUUAUUCAGAUUCCAGGAAAUCCAGAAGGAUCACCCUUUUCUAUCCCAAAAGACAUUGUACAUCACUUUACCCACUGAGGGCUGUGUCUUGAACUUUUUCUUCAGUGGGUAUUUCAUGUCACCACUCCAUGGACUGCCAACAUCUUCCUCUGAAGUCGUGGGCCAACAUCAUAAAAUAGGAGACAUUACUUUUGGAGCAGCACUCAUAAAAUAAUAAAAAUAAAUACAUUCCUGGAGAAAACCAGUACUCUAGAUCUCCGCACAGCAAAAGUCCAGCAUACAAGCAGAUUAGUAUGAUAGUAUUGCCUUAAUGAGGAGCUUGAUUUAGGGAAUGGAAAUGGAUGAAGAACUAUUUUUAUACAUUUAUGUAAUUUUUGUUUGCAUAUUUAGCGUUGACAGUCUGCUCAUUGACCUCCAGUAUGCAAAGAAGAAUGCUUUCUAUUCAUUGGAAUCAGUAACAGUAAAACAGUUAACACACUUGUGUGGAAAAUGGCACAGAAAUAGGAUCAAAUCUGGCAUAAGAAAAGGUAAUAAUUAUUUUUAUUGGAAUUAUCCAUAAUUAUUUUUUACAGAAAUUGCAGAGUAAGUGACUUUUUAGGAUGGACUAAAGUGAAAAGAGAUCUUUUGUUUGUUUGUUUGGUUGGUUGGUUGGUUGGUUGGUUGUUUCCUUCAGUUAUAUUAGAAAAUUCAGAUGUGAUGCAACUUUUCUUCUGAGAAGCUGGGAUGAGCUUCUUUUUGAGUCAGGCAGGCUGUCUCAAACAGUGAGUGAAAUAAGAGAACUACUACGCAACUUCCAUCAUGUGAAUAACUUCUACCAUUUGUCUCAAUGAACUUGGCAUUAACUUGAAAUACACAGAGCAGUACAAUGGAGCAAUAAAAGAAAUCUAUAGAGAAAUGAACAGAGCAAAGCCUUUUAAAGAUCAACAGAAAGUUGUGCUAGUCUUUUGUGUAUUUACUCACAGAUGCAACCCAAGAUCUGCAACAGCCUAAAUUCGGAUGGGAUUGGGCAAAUGGUUGUAGUAGCAAACCAUUGUAGAGUUUCCAUAUGUAUUUUGUGUAUGUUUUUUACUCAUUAAAAUCCUGAAAUCAUGCAUGAGCCACCUUAGCUUCUGGCUGUGAAAAACGUGCUCUGCUGAAGAAAUUUUAUUUGCUUGUUUAACAAUUGCAGGAAACAAAUCCUAUGAAAUCCUGGAAAUAAUAUAAAAAUGGAGCAUCACUGUCAAGCUAUCAAAAAGAAAUCAAACUUUCAGUACAUAGGUAAUAAUGCUACAAUCUACAAAGGUGCUAUAAUAUAUUAUGUUCAAGACAAUAUGUUAUAAACCCACUAUAAUUUCAUAACAAAGAAUCUUUAAAAAGACAACCUUUCAACAGAGUCUCAGUAAACUUACUUCGAUGAACUUAAUAAAAUUGGACCUGACUCUACUUUUAAAUCUCAUAAAAUCGCCUACUUCUUGACAUUUCUUGUAUUGGUUCAUUUCUCCCUAUGGAAAUAUACCAAAGACAAAAGGAGAAAAAUCUUGAAAUCUUUUUCCUGCUUUGAUAAGAUAAUUUCUUCAGAUAAUAUUUAACUUGCAGUAACUCUGCAAGCCAUGUAGAACAGAAUAUUUUUAAAUUCUCUUCUUUCUCCAUACUCCAAACUGUUAUUGGAAUAAAAAGAAAGCAAUUGAAGUACCAGCUACAUGACAGAGAACUCAAUUUACUGCUUUCUUGCCAGGUAAUCUAUACUCGCCAGGAAGUACAGUGAGAUCUCUGUACCUUUUAUAACAAAUAUUUCAAGGCAAGGUCUUUCUUUGAAUAUUUUAAAGUUCUGUUUCCUUUUUGAUGGAUUAUUAAUUUUUUUUAAUAAAGAUAAAUUCACUUGAUAUGAAUGAUGGCUUUUGUUUCUUGAUAUAAUAGCAUUUCUCCGUUAUGUAAAAUAUACUGAAACUACAAUUUUGUUUUCUUUUCAUAACAACUUUUCCACUAAAGUUCCUGUGAAUAAGCUAAAUAGUUCUCAUAAUCUUAUAAAUUCUAUAACUUUUUUUUUCUGCUUGUCACAUCUCACAUGAAUUGAAAAUUAUUUAGUUUUGAAGGUCUUAGAAGUGAUCAUACAUACCACAAAACAACUUAUUUUCUAGGUUUUUUUCAGAUAACAUUAUGAAACUAUUGAGACUGUGUACAAUUCUCUGCUAAACUGAAAAAGAGAUUGGUAUUCUGUUGGAAAUCAAAACAGCAUUUAACAGAGAGAUUUACCUUUGGGUAGUUUAAAAUCUCUCUGAAGUAUAACUUGUUUAAUUUUAUGACAAACUAUUUUAUUUGCUGCUGCUUCCUGUCUUUCUCAGCUUGUCUAGCAUUCUUUAUUUCUCCACAUGUAUACUAUUCUUUAGAUUUUUGUAAAUGGAAAGAGGAAAGUAAAUUAGACCAUGUCUGUGUAGAGAAUUCACUUCAAUACUCUUUACUGUUAAGAAUGUAACCAGAUUCUUAACUAUAAUAUUCGAUCCAUUUUUUUCUGUUUUUUUUUUUUUUUUUUUUUUCUGUCUGAAGUUCCUUUUUAAAUUAUAGAUAAAACUUGGUCAGAGGAAAGACAUUGCUUUAUGAACUGAGGAAGUCAUCUGGGUGCAUGUUUUAGAAUAAAGUCAAAUCUGGAACUUGUUUCAGGUUUAGUAUCUUCCACUGAAGGCUGGACCCUGAAAUCCAAUGCAAAGAGCUCACAAAUGGGGACUUUGUUCUGUGAGGCUGUAAUUGCACUCACUACUUCUGUCCCAAACAAUCAUAUAUCCCCCUCAUCCUGUGUCAGUUUGUACGAUGCUGCUGCAGUCAAGUAGUGGAAAACAAUGAGCACCUAAGCAUUGCUAAUGAAGGUUUACAUGCAUGCGAGGUAACUCUGUGGUACUUUAUUUGAACUUAGUUUAGAUUCCACUCAUGAGAUAGAGGUGGUUUUCUUGUGUAUUUGCUUUCAUGCCUAAUGUCUGUUAAAGAGUGUUAAAUAUAUAUAUAUGGCAGAUCGGUGUAUGAUUUUUUCUCACAUAUAUUUUCAAGCAAAAAAAAAAGCUCAUUUGUUGUAAUAAUUCUCCUCAGUAUUGAUAAAAUUCUAAAGUAUACAUGCUGUAUUGUAUGUAAUUCACAGGCUACAACUGGAUUAGAUCGUUUUAAGUGAUAUGCACAUAUGUUCCUCCUCCUUGCAAAUUGCCUUAAACUGUCUGUCCACGACCCAGAAUCAAUGAAAAAGAUUUUCUCUAAUUUCAUUAAGUUUCAGAUUUGAUCUAUAGUGAACCCAUCUAGAUCAACAUAAUUACAAUAUCUUCCUUCAACAACAGUAUGUUUAAUUUUUAUGCUUUCAUUUCUUUUAUUACUUGGCAGCUUAAAGUCUUUGCUGUUCUCCUUACAUAAGCUUCUUGGAUUAUGCAGUAAGGCAGCAGAAUGAAUGGUCAGCCUCCUUUGACCCACGCACUGUCCAUCCUGACCUUCAGAUAGGAUCUACCAUAAGCACUGGAAAAGAAAUAUUCAUAAAAGUGCUUGCUUGAGCUUGUGAAAUACAUAGCCAGAAUUACUGCCUUGGGGUGGAUGAUACUUCUUUCCUAAAAGGUCAUGUUGCUCCUGGACAGGAAAACCUGUAAAGUCUGUCUGGACACUGUGCUGUUAUAAAGUUUCAAAAAGUCUCCAGGAGAUCUCUGAAGGCAAAAACUCUGAUGAAAUCAUCCAGAUCUAAUUAUAGGAGAAAAAGGGCCGGAGUCUGCUAGCGCAGAAAACAGCAGCCGGCCCUGUUUGCUUUGUGUGUGCCUAUGUCCUGUAGAACCGCGCUGUCUCCUGCUUCCGUGAUGGGUGAUUUGAUCCUUGAGCACCGCCUGUGCUGCGGCUGCAGAAACGAAAAUUACAAUCUGUCUUACCUUCUUUGAAGAGCAUUCUCAGUUCUUUAGGAGGAUAUGGUAUAUCCUCCGCCUAUUUUCCUUUAUCUGGCUGCUGAUGCUGGCUAACAUUCCGUCGAGAUGGCUGAGAAAGCCUGGACCUACCUUUGUGGGUGGACAGCAGCCUGCUGCUGCUGAGCCCUGGCUAGCUCCUACUGACUGCACUACAUGGCCGGCCUCCCUCAAGUAUGUUUGUCAUCAGAGAUCUGAUCCUCUGUGUCUUUGUGUUUAAUUUUUAAAGAAAAGACAGAACCACCCUGUCCCCAGAGGCUAUGGCUUUCUUUGGAUGUUUUAUCCAUAGCACUGUGGGUAUAGAGAUGCGUUACAACCACACAUAAACCUCAUAUGAAAUGCUUGUUUUCUGCCUGCCUUGUCCCUAGUCUUAUCUUUGAGGAAUUCCUGAAGGAAUUGGGGUGAAGGUUUCAGACUGGUACUUUUGAUUGUGGGGUUAUUGUUCGUUUGAUUGUUUUGUGGGGGAAGUUGUUUCUGUUUUUAUUAUUUAUUUGUUUGUUUAUUUAUUUAUUAUCAGGAGGCGGGAGGUUUCUGAAACCAAGGGCCAUCUUUUAGAAUUGGAUUGUUUCUCUCCAUGAACUGGAGAAACUUUUCUUGAAAAUCUACAGUAGAGAAUCUGAAAAUCCUCUUGCAGUGUGUAGGAAAGUGUGGAGAAAAGAAAAUAAUCCUACAGUGCUAGUGAAUGCCUUUCAAAAUUAGUGAUCAUCUUCCUCUGAAUUUCAGAUAAUUCUUUUAAAAAUUACUUUAGAAGAAUAAAUAUAGGGAGUCAUUUAUUUUCUGCCUAAUAUUUAUGACACUUGUUGACAUCCUGAUCACAUUAUCCAGCAUUUCCUUGCAACCAUAAAGGCUAGGAACUCUCAAAUAUUUAAAAUAAAAAUGGAGAUAUCUUUUCCAGUUGUUUCCAAAUUUCUUCUUUUCACAUACUUGUUUUCCAAGGAUCUACUUCUCUUGAUAAUCCCUGAAAUAUUGUUCACCACCAGCUAAAUCAUGGAAUAUUGCACUGUUGCCAAAUAAAAAACUAGGCUACAGUCCAAAUCUAUGAGAUUUUGAUAGAUAUGAGGUCUAGGAGAUGAAUAAUAUGGAUAGAUUACACGUUAUGGUCUGUAGCCAAACCGGACUGUUGCACAGAGAUUGCUUUGUGUUCCCUGAUCUCAUACAGACCAAGUCCCCUCUGACGUGACUGUCACUGUCCAUCACUUAGUGCUAUCAAAAUGUCAAAAGGACUGUUAUGGUUUCCACUCCAUUCAGUCCUGUUCUCUCUUUGCUUCCCGUGGAGUGUAGGGGCUCCUGUUUGUUUUCCACCUGUGGGAUAACUGCACUUGCAGCAGUGUUUUUGGAGGUUGUAGAUAGCCAUGGUGAAGAAAAUAAUGAGGCCCAUUAAGCUUCAGAUGCAGUCUGUAAGUUCUGGGAAAUGCACAUUAUUGCCAUGCCCAGCACACCUGCAUCUUCUCUCCCACUUCAGGAAGCAGAUUUUCCGUUGCCACUGAACUCAUACAGCAAAAUUAUAUAAUUACAUAGGGAAAAAAAGAAAUUCCCGAGAUACAAGCCAAUGAAAAGAGGCAUAUUUUGGCCAGAGAAUGAACAGAAAAGCAUGGAACAGAGAGAGAUUGAUAUAAUGAUGGAUUUACUUGGAAUGAAAUAAUUGUCUCAUUUUCCCCAUAAAUAUAUAAAAAUAUUUUUAAGUCUUUUGUCUGAGAACUGAAACCACCUCAAGGGAGUCACAAAAUACCACCAGUCAUCUGUGCUUUCCUGCAGAACCACAGUAUUUCAGGGGCAGGCCUUUUGUUAAGCUUGUGAUGACAGUCCUAUUUGGCCUAGAUGCACAAAACAGUAGAGAUGGCAGGAUAAUUUGCUGUCUUAAUUUGAUAUCAUACAUACACCAGCUUUGUAAGAAAAGUUAUUCAAAGAGAACUAAGGUGUAACAGCAGAGAAAAAAGAUGACCCACGCUGGUAUGAUAUGGGUGCAUUGCCAGGGCAGAAUCAGCAAGUCUGUUUCUAGAUUGCCUAUAGCAGAAAGCUCCUUUUUUGUUUUUUAAAUCCAGGAAGAUGAAAUCCAGCGUGCAACUUGUGCCCAAGCAAUCAGCUGCUGCCCGUAGAAGUAAAGAAUCACUCUUUUUUUUUUUUUUUUCCAGAUAAUUCCAGUUAAUCAUGACUUCUGAAUAGCGAGAUUUCCACUGGUGAAAAAAAGUUCAAAAGAUUAUUUUAAGCAAAUGUAUAAUGUUAAUAAAUGAAAAACUAAAAUUACACGCAUUUGCAACAGUCCUUUAAGUGCCGAAGAAGUAACACUGAAAAGAAGAUUGUCUGUAACUUCUCAAUUUCCUCUUGGAUAUACUUUUUCCUUGCUUCUGCUCAUUCAUUAGUCAGGAUGGCAUGUAGGAAAAAGGCUGAAUGUGCUGGAAAGCUCCUCUCCAUCUUCUGCAUGCAUCCAGUGUGAAUUUUGUGGACGGUAUGUGACAGUUCUGCACCCCUGAUGGCUGAAAACUCCAGACAGUGAGGCUUGCCACAUUUUUUCGGGGUAGAAUUUUCUCCACAGAAUUUCCUUCAUGUACCUUUCUAGCUCCUACACUGUCCUUGCAUGGUUUAGUCUCGGCUCCAGUCCUGUUCUGUAUGGAUCCCUGCACGUUUGACCACGUUCAGCAAGGUCUCAGACCUGCUGUUCUCAAACUUCACCUUAUUCUUCCUAAAAUACUUGGCAGGGAUUUUGACAACGUGGGCAGUGAGCUGAAAUUUCUGAUGAAAAUUUGAUCGAGUUAAUGAAGUUUUAGAUUUCUGAAAUACUUCCGUAGUCAUCAUAUUCAUUUAAUUUUUCCACCUCAAACUGCCAUGAAGUGUCACUGUAUAGGAACUAAGAAAUGCAAUUAAAUGUAAAUAAGAAAUGAUUUUUUCAGUACACAGCUUGCAAUUGAAUAGUGCAUUCUAUAAUGAGAAAAGCAUUCUGCUGUACAUAUGGGAAAAAGUAAGAGUCUAUCAAGACAAAUAGAGCAAAAUUACAUUAUUUUCUCUUCUUUCCUUCCUUCCCCUUCCUCUACAGUACUCUGUAUCUGGAAGUUGUUUAUAUCAGAAAAUGAUGGGAGGAUAAGAUACGACCUCCACUUCAUAAACAUUUUAAUGUCUGUAGAUACUGUGUCAUGCUCACAGUUCACGUCAUACUAACCAUUUUUACUACACAGUUUUACAUCUUGUUACAGAUAGGUUCUGUGGCUGAGCAUUCAGACUUUAUUCCACUAAGAGACCGUGCAGACUUGUUUGGAUUGAAUUAGGCUAGAUUUAAGCCACACUCCUGUGUUCUUAUUUGGACAGUUGGGCUCUUGGAGCUUAAUUCACACUGCAGUUUGCUGAAGACUCCAUGUGCAAACAACUGAGAGAAUGAUGUCAAAAAUAUCAUAAACCAAAGUCAUAGCAAGCGAAGACUUGAGAAAAAAGCUCUGUUUUUUUCCCCUCAUAAUUGGUUUUUAUAGGUUGGCAUACUGAUGUUACAUUGAAUCUAUUUCCUAUAUUGAGAUUGUCAGAAAACUAGCACAAAGAGAUCUGAAGUUCUACAAUAGCUUUAAUGGCAUUCUAACUUUGUUGCUUAAUUAAAGCCUUUUUCAUGUCAACAGAAUUAAUUAAUUUUGCAGGUUAAUUGCACAUUGAAGUGUCUGUCUCAGGAUGAGAUCUGCAGUUGGUAACAUCUAAUUUCUAAUUUCGGACUAUCGCCAUUGUUUUUGGCUGGGGAGAAUUCCUUGACAGUGUGACAGUAUAAGUGUGUUUGCCAAGUGCUUUUCAUAUUAUAAAUAGCAUGCAUAUAGGCAACUUGUGCAAAAAUGUUAUAUAUAUUGAGUAAACAGAUAAAAAAGGACUUCAUUGAAGAGUGAUGUGGAAGAUCCAUCUGAUGUUGUAUGAUGCACCUUUAAUCUGUUCAUUUGAGGAUGUUCUUUAGCAGUCUUCUCCUGGAGUCUGCUGUUGCAUACUCCAUCAGCAGUAAUAGCUGAGCAAAAGAUAAACUUGGACAUCAUAAAAGGUGAGUCUGUUUUUCAUGUUGAGAAAGAAAAAAGAACCAAACUCGUGGAAACAGAGUUAAGCAUCUUCUAAGAGUAACUGGUGAACCAAAUUAAGUAUGCUCAAAAAUAUGCUAUUUCAACACCUAGGGGACAAAAAAAAAAAAAAAGGAAAUCUUAUCUUUCCCAUGUGAAUAUGCUGUACAUACAUUUUUCUUAGCUUAUCUUCAGUGACAAGGCUCUAAUUAUUGGUUGAAAGAAAUCUAUCAUUAUUUAUAGUAAGAGCAGUUCUCUAUCUGGUAUUCAGCCUCAGCCUUUCCCAAGUUAUACUAACAAUAAUCUCGCAGCUGCAAUACAAAUGCAAAAGGAGAAUUAAGCUUAUUAUGUCUCCAUGUCACUCUCUUCCUCUAGGACAUGUCAAAUUUACAUGGCAAUUUUGAGUCCAGCCAAACUGCUCCCUCACAGGCAGCUUCUGCACUGUACACUGUGGUAACUGCAUAGUAGAAGCACUUCCAAUAGAAUCAAGUUUCAGAAGACCCCUUCAGAGUCAAAAGCUGUGAUAGGAACAUGAGAUGAGGUUGUGAAUCCCAUCAUGAGUUGGAUGCUGAAUUGAGUUGAACUUCUGUGGUGGGCUAGAUCUACUCUUCUGAGUCAGGCUCCUGAGCCCUAAUGAGAUCUAUGAAUUGGAAGGUGCAUUGUGGCCUGCAUGCUGUGUUUUUGUGGAAGCAGAUUACACACGAAGAACUGGGUUACUUUGUGCUCUGAGUAGCUGAGCAAACAGUGAGCAGCCUUGUUCCCCUCUAAUAAAAGCUGUGGAUUUAAAUAAAAAUAAUAAAAAUAAAUGAAAAAUCUGCCUAUCACUGAUUCUUUUUCUCCUAGUUUCUGAGCCCUGAGGUUUGAACUCCAUUAGUGUAUUCUAGCUUUUGACUAGAACAAUUUUUUCCCCCCGAACAUGCAGAAUUCCUCUCCCCAUCUCCCUAUAAUGCAACAAUUACAGUACAAUCAGGAGCUGAUAAUUACAACUGAUUCAUAUGCAUUCAAACUAAGUAGUACACACACAAAAUAUUGGGGCUCUAAGAGGAACUCAGGUGCUGUGGGAAGAAAACAGAGGCAGAGAUUUUGGGGCUGAUUCUUGGUGGACUACUGGAGAAAAUGUUGAAGGAGAUAUCUGUCUCAGCUGUGGGUUAACCACCACAAAAAUGUCUGGGUUCUGUAGACACUGAAAACAGUUGGAUGUUUAUGGGGUUGAUUUAAAGCAUCAGAAUUAAGUGCAUAAAGCCAAACUGUGUAAAUAUCCCUGAGAAGUAAUGGAGAGAAGUGACAUAGGAUUGUCUAUGUUUUCUCUAAGAGACACCAAAUUGCUCAUUUUAACAGUAAUUUAUAAAUAUUACAUGGUCAAUUUUAUAUUCUGCCACUGAAAUAGUAACAAGGAGAGUUUAACAAAGGAAAGAACAGUAUUAAGAGUCUGGUAUGAUCCUUUCCUAUCUGACCUUCCUGAACACAUUACAAUUUUUUUUUUCCUUUGUAAUUUGAAGGUGUGACAAAGAUCUUACCCAACAAAAUUAAAGGCAAAUAUAAGCAAUCAGAGAGGGCUUAGCUAUUGUCCAGGUAGCAUCUUGAGAUGCAGGGCUGGGGAAGGGGCAACAUGCAUCUUUCCUCCCAGAGAAAUACGGAGGUUCAGUGUUUCAGUGUUUUUUAUUCACCACUCUAACAGUCUCUGCUUUGUUUCUUCUGUCACUUCCAGCACUGACUACAUCUAAAGUCAGCUGAAAACUGUUUUUUCAUGAGUUAUAAAAGCAAUAUUCAGCUGAGAAAAUCUCUAAACUCAUAAACAUCCACGUAUCUCUUCCUUGUCUUUUCUCUUCCUUGUUAUUCUACAAUUACUUGGAACUGUUACCAUUCUGUUUGCAUUCUGUUAGUGUCUGUUGUUUUGAAACUAAGGCCUUGCACUUGUAUUUUUUUGACGCAGUUUGCUGCAGUCCAGUAACAGUUUCUCUGUACACUCUGAUCUCAACUUAUCUGCUUCUGCGAGACCUUGCUUAUAAUGAAAUCACUGCUGCUGAGCAAAGAGUAUUGCUACAUUAGGACAGAUCCGUUUGCUUGGUUUUCGUGUACGUUAGUAAACUGUGGAAGAUUAAAUACCACAUGGAGCUGACGUAUGUGGAGCUGAUCCUGAAGUAACCUUGAAGUCCCUGUUCCAAGUUCAAGGCAGUGCAUGAAGUCCUUGCUCUCAAAAGGUAGUCCCAAGAGCAAAGAAAGAUCAUACUUGAAUGCUGAAUGAUAAACAAGGUAUGAGAUAGUGGUUAGCUUCUGUAUUUGCAAAUAAAGCACAGGCUUGGGUGGCUGACUUGUGCACUUUCAGAUAAGGUGUUAAUUGCAUGAAGAACUUGUGAGCCUGGAAUACUGGAAGCUCAGAACUGUGGGCAGGGUGAUAUUGUGCUUAAACAGAUAAUGCAAAAUUGCAAGGAAAUUAAAGGAAGAAAAGCUGAAGUUAUUAAUACCAUCUUACACUAUUAAAUGUAGAAAAAAUGAAUAUAGUUUUUGCAUGGUGUUAUGCAAUGGAUAUUAGAAGCUUUAACUAAAACCACAUACUUUUAAAAAUACUUUUUUAUGUGUUCUAUUUUAUGUCAUUUUUCUACCUAACAAUUAAUGCUGAUUCCUGACCAGUUCCUGAAAACCAUUAUCUAUAACAUUUCUACAAGUAGCUGCUCCUUUUACUGCUAAGUAAUGACUAAAUCAUAGUAAAAAUUUACGUCAACUGUUUAGAAAUUCAUAUAUAACUUUGCUUGUAAAAGUGAAAAAACAGAACAAAAGCAACAACAGGCAGUAAGAAAAAGGCAGGUGUGUUAUGACUCGUCAUGGGUCACGUAAUGUAGAUGCAUCAGCAGCAAACAGUGAAGUAUAAACAGUUCUGCUGAAAAAUAGAGAUUAUCAUCAUAUUCCAGUCUCCAAAGAUAAAGCAUCUAAUAGUAAAUAACCCUACUUCAUAUCUUGGUGUGAUGGACAAAAGAAAGAAUUUAUCUUUAGAAGUUGGUUGCCCAGAAAGUCAUUCUGACUUGAUUGCAUUCAGUAUGAGGAAAAGAAGGAAGGUUCAAGUAGAGAUAUAUAUCACCUUUUCAGAUUGAGAGUCUUCUAGGAAGAGAAAAUGAAAGGAUCAGUUGAAAAUAAGUACUUAGAAUUAACUGUGUGAAUGAAAAGUAAUGGCUAUAUGAGAUGAAUUUAGGAGACAACCAAAAAUUAUGAAUACAUAAAGAAGAGUAGGCAACACUAUGUUUUGACCACUAAACAGAGAAAUGAAGGCAGAACAUAGAUAUUAAUUUAGACAGAAAAAAAGCAAGAAAUGUUACAGGUGGGUAACAAAGAAAAUGCAUUGCAAUAAAUACAAAAUAGAAUUUUAGUGUGGAUAACUGAAAAAUCUCAGACAGUAAAAAGAGAUCUCAAGUGUCUUUAGAGAGAUGAAGAGACAGAUAAAAGGCUUUUAAAUAUUGGAGGAAGACCUAUAGAACAAAAAAAAGAUAUUCUAGGGAAAAAACCCACAUCCUAUGCACAUUGGGAUUCUAUUUGUAAAUAGCUAUGAUAAACAUAUUAAUAGACAGACAACUCAGAAAAAUUCAAAAUUAUUUCUGCUUUCCAUUUGGAAACAAUAUAGGCAUUUUUAUUAUCUAAGAAUAUAUUCUAAUAUGUUUAGUAAGUACUUUCCAGUCAAUUAAUAGAUGUUAAACAACAUAAGUCGGUAGGUUUGAAUAACUUUUACUCAAGAGUCGUGGCUGGGGAGAACAAUCAUUCACUGAUGUUAACUUUUAAUAAACCUGGAAAUAGCAAGGAAAAGUCAGAAGGUUGGGUGAGUGCUGCUGAGCCAAUAUUAAGAACUGGCAAGUGAUUCUGUUCAAGAAACUUGAGCCAGUUAGAAAGAAGUACUGCUGUGGGAAUCCAUUGGUAAGAAAUUAAAGGACAGCUCAGAGGUGAUUAAAGGAAAUUAAUUUUUUCAGACUGUCCUAGUUUCUGAGUAAAGCUCCUGCUAUUAUAGCAUGUAAAACAAAAUGUAUUCUCCAUUCAACAAAUCCCAGAUGGUAAAUGGUUUCUGAGCUAGAUAGCAGGUGGUUCUGAAAAUAGAAAUACAAAAACAUGGAUUUUUUUUUUUUUUGGAGAAAAUGGGAGCACCACUUCUAUUUAUCAGCAUUUUCACUGAUGAUGUUGUUGUGACUAAAAUCACUGGGGUACAAUGAAGUACAAUGUGAUCUGCUUCACUUAAUAAGUAAAGGCAGCUCUGACACUUUAUAUUGCUGAAUAAAGGUGAACUUUGAAAGCAAGCUGCACGUGCAAAAAAAGGGGCAGUACUCUAGUCAACAGGGUCCUAGAAGAAUACACCAAGUGUCAGACAGAGUUUCAGAUUUCUGUGGUUAGAAGAGGGCUGUGCUAUCCAUACAGGUAUGGUAUCAUAGGAAUUUGGUGUUCAUCUCUGCAUUCCACAAUGGUGAGGAAAGACUAAAAUAAAUAAUUUGUUUGUGUGGUCCUCUCAAAAAAGAUACUGGAAAUCCAGAAGACUGUUCAACAGUGAAAGUCUUCAAGAUCCUCAAUAACAGAAUUGUUUGGUUUAUCAAAGGGAACAUCACAAAGAGAAUGGAUUACAGCGUACAAGUAUUUGCAUGGGGAACAGAGACUGUGUGCUAGAGGUCCUUCAUCUACCAGAGGAAGGCAGAUGAAGAGUUUGGGGUAGGCAAUUGGAGCCAAGAGGAUUCAGACGAGAAAUUAGCUGUAACAUUUUGCCAGGGAGGCUGCUCAAUCAUCACGCAAAUUGCAUAUGGAGACUGCAGGAAAUGCAUCUCUGGCACACUUGGGUGAAGACUAAGUGUUUUUCGGAAGAUAUGCUUUGGCUCAACACAAAGAAUAGUUCAGUCAAACAGACCUCAGUGUAGAAGAGAGCAGAUUAAUUGCCACAGCUUGUGAUGCUCAUGUGUCACACUGGUUUGGUCUGAUGAGUACUCCCAGCUGAAAGCUUAGGGGAAUUAUCACAGAAUCAUAGAAUCACAGAAUGGCUUGAGUUGGAAGGACCUUCAAGUCCAUCCAGUUCCAGUUGCCCUGACAUGGGCUUGUUGCCAUUCACCAGCUCAGACUGCCCAGGGCCCCAUCCAACCUGUCCUUGAACACUUAAAGGGAUGGAGCACCCACAGCUUCUCUCAGCAGCUGCGCCAGGGCCUCACCCCAUCUGAGGGAAGAAAUGGUCAAAAGUGGCCAAUAAAAAAGAAUGGGUCAGUAAUGAUAACAGCAAUAGAAACAGCAAUCAUACUCACAACUGCAAUCACAAUUGCAAUAGUAAGCAAUAUACUUUUGAUUGUUUAUAUUGUAUCUGCAAUGCAAAAAAGCCAAAUGCUGUCAAAUUGAGGUUGCCCAGGAAAGUGGAUUACCCUACGGGGGAAAGAAAGUAAGGUGUGGGGCCUCUGAGAUUCUCCCUAUUCAAGCACUAUGGAGAGAUGACUUCUGUUUCAGCAGGGCUUUCCUGCAGUGAGAUAAGGAGACAGCUAGCUAGAUGCUUCUUUACCUCUUUGCCUCCCACAUCCUUCCACCUUACAUUGUGGUGCUGCUGGGAAGGGGCAAGCAGCAUCUGAAGACAUCUCUGCCUCUCUUGUUCCCCAGAUUCAGCAUUUCUGCAUAUCUUCACCACCUGAGCCACUCUAGAUGGAAUGCUUUAUUGGACGGGAGAUUGGUCAAAGAAACACAAGCCCAUUACUGCCUGUCAUCCAGGAAAAACAUAGUUGGCUAUGGCAUUCCAUCUUAAUAAAAAAUGUGGUCCUUGUACAACAUCUGUUGCCAGGUUUCAUGAAGAUUUAAUGUAUGCUAAUUGUAACCUUAUGUACAUCUCCUUCUCCUUGACCUGCUUGCCACCUUUCAUGUAAUUAGGUUCCACAGUGGAUUACUUUAAACUAAGUAAAUUUUUGACAUAUCCUGAAUAAAACUCUCAGGAGAGAAACAUUUUUAAAUGAACGUAGUUAGGGACUGCAGUUCCCUCCUCCCCUGGCUUCUAGAGUGAAGCAGCACCCUCUGAGGGGUCUGCACUGCUCAAUGCCUGCUGCCAUUUUGCUUGCUUCACAGCAGGGAGGCACAAACUCCAAACUCUUUUCAGUAUGCUUAGAAGCAAUGUGCCAGGAAGUUCUUCACUUGGUCUAGAAGAAUUUAGUUGCAUUUUCAUGAUCAUUGUGUAAUUAUUCUAAUUCACUGUACAUUGCUGCAUCACAGGGUUGUAGGUUUUGGCUUUUCCAAUGGAGUUUCUUAGGGGUUGUAUCAGGUGUUUAAAGGGCUGAUUAGCUCUUGCUGAGCACAUACAUUUACCUUUGCAGACAUUUUCUUUUUUUUAAAUCUCAGAUGUGGAAGAAGAUAUAUUUUUUAAAAGAAAAAAAAAAUUCUCAUGGUUUACAAAAAUAUUGUCAUACUUAGUAUCAAUUUCCUGUUUUCAGUUUAACUUUUCUGUUCCACACCUGAGGAAAAACUCUUGACUGUUUUGCAUUCCAAUGUAAUUUUGUAAAAAAAAGUAAUAUUUACAAUUUUGUAUAAAAAGUAAUAUUGCAGAAAAAAGAAACCUACAAAAAACCAACUGUAAAUGUGCAAGAAACCUUCUCAGAUCAACUCUAUAAAGUCAUGGUGAAAAUGGUUUUCAUGCAUCCUUCAAGGCAUUAGGAUUUUGAUUCUGGAUCCCAUGUUAGGCUAGAGAUGUUGGCAAAGUCAUCAGUCCCAGAGCUGGUUGCUAAUAGUUUCUCCCUAUCGAAUCACUUGCACACUUGGAGUCAGGCAGUGCAGGAGAAUUUGCAGCACCACACUUUGAGGGGAGCAGCUCUAUGCUUUAUGGGCCAUGAGCCAUCAGUCCUGCAUGACCGCCAUGUGCUCAAGCAUCAGAACUGCCUGUGUCAUUUUCUCUUUGAUUUUCACCUCUUUCCCUCACAUGAUUGAAUUUACUUUUCCCUGCAGCCACAGUUGUUUCAGAUGACUGUAGAAAUUCACAAGGGAGAUCAUUGUUAACCUCCUUUUGUCCAUUUGUUUUCCCAAGUUUGACAUCCGAGCACACAGGCAUAGUCUUUGCAAAAGGAAACUGCAAGAAACAACUCUCCUGAGCAUAAUGAGGGAACACUGGCAGAACCAGCAGCAUCCCAAACGUACACAGCAUGGGCAAUGCUACCUCUGAGAACUGGGAGUGCAUCUUGGUGCAUCUCUGCACGCCGUGCAGUGAGGAUAAUCUUGUGGCAUUACGGAGUGGAAGAGUGGCAGCCAGAACUUCCUCCUUCUGGACUGAGCUUUGCAGCCCCAACUCCUGUAAAGGGCUGCAUGCAAGAAUGCAAGGAAAAGUCCAGGUGGACACGCUUGUGGGUCUGAGGAGGAGGCACACGUGAUCCUUGACUAUUUUAUAGUACGUGCUCUCUCUGAGCAGAAAUGAAUGCUGUCAUGUUGGUGAACACCCUGCCCUGGGUUAAUAAGCAAGUUUAUUUCAUCCAUGACAAGUGCCUGGUCAUACUUAUUACUGAAGCUUUUCAUACUUACCUUUGCUUUUUAUACUUGUGGAAUAUGGCUGCGACAACAGUCCUAUUGUACUUUGGGAACAAAACACAAAUACUCAUCUCUAGUUUUCACUCUUGUUUUGGAUAAAUGUUGGUCUUGGAACAGAACAAAAAGACAUUGGCUCUCAUUUUACUCUGCUUCUGCUUUAGGAAAACCACUGGCACUCCCAAGCAGUGUGAUGCUGGGCACACACACUGGGGCAUCUUCAGGAAUGCAUGAGAAGAAAUGUCCCAUCUUCACAUCUCACCCAUUUCACGCCACGAUAAAUAUGAACACUGUCAGCCGGAGAACAACGUCUGCAGCAAACUAUUACAUUUUUAUUACCUGUAAAAACUGGGUAAAAAAAAUUAACUUCACAUCAUGCAACACUACUGAAAAUUAAGGAACUUAAAUCGUUUGCAUCACCUCUGGUGAUAUCUGCUAAAUAUUUUCUGACCAUUCUUACAAAGCAAAACAGAAGGCAAACUCACCAUGAAUAGAAACAAUAAUAGGCAGUAGCAUAGGUUGCGUGUUAUUUGAAUGGAAAGUAAUUUAUCACUUCUGAAAUAAAAGCUGUUUAUCCUCGUGUUUCGCUCUCUGUAGCAAUCUUUCCAAUUUAUCUGUGAAAAAGUAAAGCACUGUACCAUCAUUAGCAUAUGAAUGUCUGACACACCAAAUUGGCUGUAAAAUAACAGAAGGACAUUUGCUAUUGGUGUAUGCACACAGACAAAGCAGCCAUUUUGGAAAAAAAAUGGAAAAAAAAAAAAAAAAAGAGAGGGAUGGUGAGGGUGCUUAACCCGUUGCCUGUCUCCCUGGUUUCACACUGCUGUGCUGAUGGGGCAGACGCAGAGUGGCUGGAAACCCCCAAAAAGCACCCGCACUCAGGUUAAAUGCUGCGACAAAGAUCAUUCAUGACAGAUGUGUGUUGGGACAAGAAAACUGGUAUGGAAUGAGCAAUUCCAUGUGUCCUCACCCAAGGCAUGGGGCAUGCACAGGAAUGACACAUCGCCGUGGUAUGGUUUUAUUUCACAGGUCUUGGGUCAGACGUAUGAAACUAUUUCUCAAAGAGGCUGCAUACAUAAUUGAGUCCCGAUAAAAGGCUCCCAGUUGAAGUUGCUAGGCUACAUUCAUUUCAAAAGCAGAGCCAUUUGUUAUCAAAUUUAAAUUAACUCUCUCAGAGCUGAGCUCAGGAUGUGCAGAGCAGUGUGUCAGUCAGCACCAGUGCCUGAUAACCAUUAUCACAUAACCAGAGCAACAUCACUUCACAGAGAAUGGGAAUCUUGAAGGAAUUUAGGCCCAUUAGGUUGUAAAUCUUAAAAAAAAAAUCAUUAAUUCCUGAGAGGUAUCUUUGUGCUUUGUGCUGUGAUUUUUUAGGAAUCACAGUUCUCUUUAUUUUCUCUCCACCUUUUAUUCCCCUUCAAAAAAAUCAUCAUGAUUUCAGCUUUAAUUUGGAAAUAAAUAAGUAAACCAAUAUUUGCCACUGAUUUCUUACAAGCACACCGUGUCUACCAUCAAUAUUUUUUUCCUGUAUCAAGAUUUCAGCAGUUUCAACACACACAUAUGCAACAAGGAGGAUAUCUGUACGGCCUACAGUGGCUGGGCCUGGUCCCACAGCCAUGCUCCAUCAGGCAGAGCAUUACAGCUCCAAAUGUAGAAGAGCAGGUUUGGCAACUUCUGACUUCUCCAGCCAAAGGCAACCGAUGGUUGCAAUGCAGAUUCUGAACAUCAGCAAAGUAAAUACAGCGUAGGGAAAGAAAAAAUAAAUAAAACUACCUUGACAUCUGCUCACAGAUAUGACUGUGAAGGAAAAAAAAAAACCCACAAAAAUCCACUAGAUUUAUCAAGUAAAUUAUUCAUUGAGAAUUAUUUGCUCUGUCUAGCCUUAAAAUAGAUUUACACAGGCUAACCAGCAAAAAUACACCAAAAAUCAAACCCAGCAGAACAUGCCAGCCACAUGCAUGGUUUGUACACACCUGAAGAUAUCAUCACAUUGUGCAAGAAACAGAAGGUGCAGGUACUUUUGCCAAUCCUGCAUAAAAGACAGUGAAUUUUUUUUUCAGUAAAUUUUGGUUUAGGGCACUUAAAACAGUUUUGUUUUUUUUUUUUUUACCAAUCUCAAUUUGACUUUUCUAUUUUAAUUUCUCUGAUAAAUUGGAGUCCCUGGCUAAGAGUAAGUCCUACUGUUGUGGAGCUUAAUGUUAAGUACUACAACCUUCACUAUAAUGUUUUCCUGUCUUGAAGCAGAAGCCUUAGGCAUUUGAUGUACAUCCCUGCAUCAGUGUAAGACACUGAUUUCUUGGAAGCAAGUCAGCCAUGCUGUAGCUGUUGACGUACAUACCGUGAGAUGGAAUCAUGAAUCAUGGAAUCAUCAAGGUUGGAAAAGACCUCUAAGAUCAUCUAGUCCACCCACCAGUCCAUCACCACCAUGGCCACUAACCAUGUCCCUAAGUAUUACAUCUGCUUUUCCCUUAAACACCUCCAGGGACAGUGACUCCAUCACCUCCCUGUGCAGCUUCUUCUAACACUCACCACUGUUCCUGAGAGGAGAUUCUUCCUAAUAUCCAACCCGAACCUCCCAUGACACAACUUGAGGCCAUUCCCUCUUGUCCUAUCCAACUUUGUGUUCUCCAAAACUUUGGUGUCAGAAAGACAGCAAGGAUAGCAUGAGCACCAUACUGCUACAUUAAAAAUACUUAUUCCUCCCCUCUCUCCCUUCCCCUCCCCCCCCCCACACAAAAGGACACUUACUUAGUGUUCAUAUAUGUAAAAACAUAAAUCACUUGCUUAAACAAUUAACAGGUGACCUCCUCAUUAUCUGCCACAUUAGAGUUAUCUGCCAUGCAUUCUACAAGGCAAAAUCGGAGGCAGAGAAACGAGUAAAUUCUAGAGUCCAGCACUCACCCUUCUAUUUCUUUAAAGAAAAAUGGAUCAUGCAUGCAUGCCCCUAGACAGCCCUGGGUAUGACUCUACAAGAACGAACCAUUUGCUUAUUUAAAGCUCUGUGCAGCUAACAAUGCUAUGGGGCUAGUAAAUCCCACCGAGCGCUCCUUGAGAUCCGUGUUUAUUUACUGGUGGAAGUAAUGUACCAUACUUGUGUAUCCAUGACAACGCCGUAACAUGCCAGAGCAGUAUGAGGUCUUUUCUUGCUACUGCAGUAGGAGAUUAAAAGUAAGAGGCUAAAUCGUAUUAAAUAGCAGGAGCUUUUCAAAAGAUAAAACAUAAAGUUUAUGGGAGCAUAAGAUAGUUGUUCAUGGUAAUAAAUUUGUGCUAUUUCAAUGCUUUAGUUAGGUUCAUCUGCUGAUUGUAAAUAGCACUGAAUGCUGAGCACACCAGGAAAGAUAAAACUUUGCUGCUCUUCUAGGAGUUCCCUAUAGCAAGGGAGCUGUGAUUUGCAGCGUCAAGCCUGAACAGUUAAGAAAUCUGUUUUAAAGAGUAUUAAAUCAGAUCAUACUGUAAUAUUUAUCUUUUCUUGAAAUGUGUUUCUGGUUCUUUACUAUUUUUCACUCCCAUGACAAAUAUUUUGAUUAACAGCGUUAUAUGAUCCAGUGGAUUAGUAAUGUAAUUGUCAAUUUAUAUUUAUAAAUCCAGGUAUUCUCUCAGUGCAGUUGUGUUUGCUGUGCCAUGGAUAUGUUAGACUGAUGUGGUUGAGAUGUAAAUCUUGUGUAUGUGGUGGAAUUUAGACAUAAAAUGAAAAUUCAAUUCUUUAUAAGCCAUUGUUUUAUUCACUGUUACUGCUGAUUACAUUACAGUUGCUUCGAUAAAGUUGCAUGUUUUAAUAGUUUAGAAAAGCACCUUGGAAAGUCAAAGCAAAUUAACUCUCUGCAAACAAAUCAAAGCCACAAAGGAAGAAUUUCUUUGCAAGCAGAACACUUCAGAACGCUAUUUUCCUCUUACACUUUAGUAAAUGACACAGUAGGCCAAAUUCUAGCACAGGUUUCUGAACAUUCACAGACUUAAAUGAAAAAAGACUUGAUUUAAUACAUCAGACAUCCCCCAACUAUAUUGUAUUUUCCAGACAUAGUUGCAUUAAACUACUGUCCAAAGUACAGAAAUAAUAUGUUACCUGUAUUCUGAUCAUAGGAUAAAGAAUGUUUUCUGUUUUAAUACUGUCUGUUACUUGGCCUGAUCAAUUGACUUACUCCAAUUGGAAGUUCUGAAACAAUCAGUGAGCCUUAGCUGGGAUGAACCCAUCAGUGUACGCCAGGAUGCAACAGUAAGCAUCAGGAUGUGGCAGCUCUGGAAAUGGCAAAGAUAGCCCUUGGACUGCGCAGAAUGUCUUAAAGAUUUUCAGAGUAACAACAAAAUAAAAUGGUGACGAGAGGCAUGGGUUUUGUUCUGUUUGCUUAUUUUGAUCAUCAGACUUCAGGGUGAGGUGGGGUUGCUUACUUGAGUGCUGUUUGGAGAUGUACCUACACAUGUGUGUGCACGUGAACAGAACCAUGAAUGUGGGGUGAAGUGUGGGUAAGUAAUUGUUCUCACUUCCACCUGGGAUAGCAUUUGCUUGGUCUGUGAGGUCAGGAGGAGUCUUGUGCUAAGGGAACUCGCCUAAGAAAUGAUAAUUUGCAUUUUCAACACAGAAAGGAGUGGAAGCUCCUUCUGAUGUUACUCUAAGGCUGACUCAACUGUCUAAAAUCUGCAGUGUUGCAAAAGUUGUAUUUUUUAUGAUUGCAGCUGUCAUACUGAUGUGAAACUUUCAUCCAAGAAGAUGGGACACCUCCUGCCAGACCAGGUUGCCCAAGGCCCAACAUGGCCUUGGAAUUUCAAACACAUCAGCAGCAACUUGCCUACAGAUGAGAUGAUUUCUGCUGUCCCAGCUUUGCUUCACUUUAGCAGAUGAAGUAUUUUAGCCAUACUCCAUAAAAGCAUGCAAGAUGGAUUUCUGAGAAACACAUCUACAGUCCUGAAUGUUUUGGAAACAAAAUAUGGUCCCAAGUCCUGCAGUCAAUCCGACCUGGUCUUGAACACCUCCUGGGACAGUGUAUCCACAACCUCUCUGGCCAGCCUGUUCCAGCACCUCACCACUCUCUUGGUAAAGAACUUCCCCCUGAUCAGAAGACUCUAAUUGAAAUUCCUCUUCAAUGCAUUAACCAUAUGUUAACCAGUGUGGGUCUGAGUGCUCAAAUGGAUUCUUCCAACAGGACCAAGUCUGCUGAGCUGAUAACUAAACCAAAUGGAAGAUGGAAAAGCUUCAUAAAACCCUUGAGUUGCAUGUACAACCUCUUUAUUUGCUUACUCAUUUAGUUUGGUGGGAUUUACAAGUAAAUUUUAUUAGGGUAAUUCCAUUACCUAUUGCACUACAUAUUGAAAAUGCAGCUCUUCUGUUGCCUUUCUGUUCAUUUACUUGUUUGAUUGUUCUUGAUACUGUACACUCUAAUGGACAAAUAAGUUAUGGAUGUUUUAUUCUAAAGGUUCGUAAACUUUAGAAACAGGCCAAUUUCCAUCCAGUCAUAAGUUUGUAAUGGAAACCAGCAAGAUAAGAAUAUGAUUAGUAUUUCAGAUGUGAUUUUAUAAUAUUCGUAAAUUAAAUUUUAAUAUUAAAAAUCCAUUGGUUGUUAUGAACUGCAA